rnacentral:lncRNA from 1 species
UUGUGGUUGGUGGUUCUUUUGUGGUUCUGAGAAUGGAAAUGAUGGCAUUGGCCCAAACGGUCGGAGGGACCAAAACCAACUAUUUUACAAAAAACGAGGGGCCUACACUUACGCCGGCGAGGGACUAAAGCCAUAUUUAGGUCAAAGGUUGGGGAGCAAAAACUUAAUUAAGCCUAAAAUAUAUGCAUCACCACAUAACCAACUAGAUCAAGCAAUGAAUCUUUUCAUGUGAAAGGGGUAAUGAUAAAGCAUGCAUACAAGUUUUAUUCCCCCUACAAAAGCAUAUAAAUCAUGAGUAGAUUUUUGAAAGACUUAACCUAGACAUUUAGCACUUUGGAGAUCACACAGGUCACCAUCACUCAAUGGGGAAUGGUGCAUAGAAAGAAUUCACUCAAUCUAUUAGUAAGGCACAAUACAUAGACCAUGUUGAACAAUCAACACUAGAAUAAAGUCAUAUACAAACAAGUGUGUGUAGAAAAGGACAGACCUCUUUAGGAUUGUAAUGGGGUUUAAAUGCAAUGCAGGGCAUGAUUUAGAAUAACAGGAUAAGAAAAGAACUAUCGACAUUUCACGGUGAAGUCAUUUUACUUUAAGCACAAUAGAGCAUUUAUUAUAGUUCACUAGGAUUUUUCACUAUUGGAAGGGAUUUGCGGCGUAAAACCAAUAAGACUCUUUCAUUAUUGUUUCUGCUCUUUCCAUACAAAUCCUAGCAAAAGCACGUUAAUUAGUAAAUAGUGCUGAAUUCUAAUGAUAGCAUUGGAACUUGGAAGGGAUCCUCCUCUUGAUUUAACAUUAUAGAUAAUCACAUGAAAAUUAUUAGUUGAUAUCACUCGUUUUUUUACUAUCUUCUUCUCUGAUUUCCAAAAGCAUAUUAAAUUUACCUCAAUAAAAAUAUUCUCCAACUUGAAACUAAUAUUUUGUUAAAAUACUUCCGGGGAAGUAUUUUUUGUCUGGACCUCGUGGUUGAGGGAUAGGAAAAGAUGAAAAUGGAAUUGAGUAAUUUUAAUUUGUGAAAGUUUUAUCUUCAUUUAAAUACUAAAUUAUAGAGACUUUAUUUCAAUUUGAGAAUAUCCCUAAAACCUCUCAUCAUCUCUAUCUUACUUUCUCAUUAUAUAUUAGUCUCAAUACAUUCAAAAUAAACUAUUACUUCAAUUUUGUAUAAAACCAGGCAUGCCAAAACCACUAGCACAAGCACCGCCUUCAAAACCACUAGCACCCUCAUGAGCACCACUAACACCACUACCACGAGGGUUAUCAAUAUCUUCUUCCAUAAUAUCGCCUUCAGUAACGACACUAAAACUAUGAUACUCAAGGUUCUGGACAAACAUGGCCGUAAUAGUGACCCCAUUAUUCCCAGCCAUGACCUUCCCAUCAACGAUCCCACUAAAUUCUUCUCCCUGCAAGCUAGAGAUGGAGAUCGUAAAGGUGGGGUGAAUCACAGAGGAAGAUAGAUUUGGGAUGAACGAUGGCUGAGAAGAAGGAAAGCCAACGCCACCAGAAGAUUGUAUCAAAUAAGAGCCAGAGAGGCCCAACAAAACAAAGGGUCCAUGGGCGAUGAAAGAAUAAGGGGCUUCGGCCUUAGGGUUCCUAAGAGUCACGUUGGAAAUAGUGCCCGCCGCAUGCACCACCAUAAUGCUGGAGUUUCGGAGGCGGGCAAGCUGGGCCACCACCUCCAUGACGUCCUUGCCAGCUCCGACCUCGAUGAUUGCUGGCAUCAUGUCGUAGUUGUCCUGGGAGAUGACCAUCGAGGGCUUUGGCUUGUUCCUGGAGCCCGGUGGCCGGCCGACGGGCCUUUUGGCCGAAGAGGAGGGCUUUGCCUGCUGGUUGGGGCUGAGGCCGGAGGGUGGAGGCUGGAGGUGGAAACCGAAGUGUCCAAAACUUGGAGAGAGGUACAUUGGCAUGCCAUGCUGCAGUGCCAUUGUUUGGUUAUGUUCUGAGAGAGUGAGGCAGUGAGUGAAGGAUGAGGCUUGAUGGUAUCUCAACUAGAAUUUAUAGUGUGUUUAGGGAAUAUGAGAGUCUAUGUGUGUUAAGAUGAUUUUGGUUGUGGAGCAUCUUAUGAAUAUUUUAUUAUUAUUCAAAUGUUAGGUUGGUCAAAAUUCUUUAUGAUAUUUCUGAUCUUGACCAAUAAUUCAGGCAUCAUAUAAAUCUUUUUAAUUACUGUUCAAAUGUUAGGGUCAGUCAAAUUAUUUUAUUAUCAGUAAAAUUCUUUUGAGACGCACGUGGCGUUGAAAUUAUAAAUAACUGGUAUUCAAAAUGAUGUAAAAGGUAAUAGACUGAAGGCCAAACUAAAUGCAUAACUUUUGCGGCAAUUCAAUUCAUAAAUAGGUCAAUUCAAAAUUGAUUGAUUGUGCUUUAUCCAUUCUUUCAUUCAUUUCUUAUUUUAAUUCCGAUGGAUUUGCUCUUUUUUUCCAGAGAUGCCAUCCUCCUAAUUAAUCUAUUUGUCAAACUACAUUCUAGGAAUUUAAUCUAUGCCACGAAGAAUAUUUCUCUACAUUCCUACUCAACCCAAGUUAUUGGACAAACGAAACUUAUAUAUUGAUAAUAAAGGGCAUAAGCCAAUACAGAAUCCAAAUAUUACAUAAUCCAAAGCAAAACGAGAAAGAAAACGAAAACUAGCAAAGCAACACAAAUAAGGAGUAACACAAAACACAAGAUUUCCAGAGUAACUAGCUUUGUGUCCACAACCAGAACCCGGCAACCAGCACCCAACUACCUCCUCUAGAUAACGCUAAGGCAUCAAACUGAUAGAGAAACAACAAAAACUCCUCGUUAAACCUGCUGCAGAGUCUCCAAAGACACCCAUAGAACAUCAGCACGGUUGCAACCUGCUUUGGCCAGCUUGUCGGCAUCCUCAUUUACCUCUCUGUAAAGUGAUUGAUUCCAAGACAAUAUACCUUCUUCGCAAGGAAGUCAAUCUGACAAAGAUCAUAUAGAAGUGUUGUCGGUCUUCUACCAGUUGAAACUACCCACCUGACAAUCGUUGAAUCACUCUCGAUGUAGACGUUACUUAGCAUAAAUUGCUGGCAGAAUAACAGGGCAAGGAGGAUAGCUUUAACCUCCGCUGCGAAUGCCCAUCCAUGUCCUAUCCCUUUGGAAAAUUACCCCACUAUCACAUUAUCAUGGUUACGCACUACUCCUCCGAUCCCACUAAGUCCAGGAUUCCCUUGGGAAGCUCCAUCAACAUUGAAUUUGAGAAAGCCAAGAGAGGGAGGUUGUCAAACAGCCACACGUGGUGCUUUCAAGGAUUUACUUACCUUAAUGUGGCAGAAAUUGGAGGAGAAGUGGGAUGCAUUGUAUGGACAAUCUUUCCAAUGAAAUUUGGUCCACCAUGCCACUUUCAGAUGGUCCAAGUCCUAAACCUCAUAGGCUAUGAAAGCUUUGUUCUUAAAUAACACGUCGUUUCUGUCCAACCAAGUUGUCCAGGUAAGAGAAGAAGGUGUUAAAUUCCACAGUAACAGAUCAGGAAUCACAACCAAACCUUCCCACUCGACUGCCAAAGCUGCCAUCAACCUCGGAAUGGCCCACGAAAUCCUUCUCUGUACAUAAUGGCACACCAAAGUUGCCAUAUCUCAUAGAAAUGCAAAAACAAAUGUUGCGUUGAUUCAGUGGACACAUUGCACAUAGAGCAAACCCUUUGAUCAUGGACUGUGAUCCCUCUCCUCAUCAAAUUCGUUUUGGAAGCAACUUUGUUGUUGCAGAUUUGCCAGAAUAGCAGCCCAACCUUAGGAGGGAUAACUUUCCAAGUUUUGACCGGGAUUGUCAAACCACUGUUUUGAGAUGCUCUCCUCUCAGCCCACGAAUACAAGGAGUUAAUUGAAAAGACCCCAGAAUUAUCGAGCCCCCAUAUAAGACUAUCUGUUGCUCUGAGUUGUGGAAAGGCGGAAGCAAUUGCCAGGUUGAAAUCAGAGAAGAUCUGCACCUCCCAAGCCAAAAAAACCCUUCGGAAAUGCUGGUCCCAUUUCCAUUUUCCAUGGUGAAUACAUCCCACAUCCUACAUCCUAGCAUUCUUGUCAGUUGACAUAGAAAAAAUCCGGGGAAAAUUCUCCCUUAAAGGGAUCAAAUCUUCCAAAGGAUCGUUCUAGAAAUUAAUACACCUUCCAUCACCAAUUUUGCAUAAGGCACCUUCUUUGAAACCUUUUUAGAGAAAGGAGUCUUCUCCUAUGGUAACCAAUAUAUCCUAUAAUAAAGGUGACCAGGCCACCUUCUCUGGCUGCCAGUUAGAAAGUAGCAGAACCCGAGGGUCCAAAUCAUAUUUUGCGAUAAUAAAAUUCCUCCAUAAGCUUGAAUGUUUUAACCCAAACCGCCACGCCCAUUUAAUUAAUAUGGCCUUGUUCCUCUAAAGGUUCAAGGAAUCCACACAAUUUUAUUAUUCCCACUGUCGCGGCACCAUAUGAAGGACCUGAUAAUUUUUUCAAUCUCACCCACCACGCAUAAUGGAGCUUUGAAGAUGGACAUUAAGAAAAUGGGGAUUUAGCACAACGCUGCCUUGGCAAGGAUAAGACGGCCACUAAGAGAGGUGCACUUUUAGUUCCACGAACGAGUUUUGCCUCGAAGCUUUUCAAGCAUGGGAUCCCAAAAAGAUUUCCGUCGAGGGUUACCUCCUAAAGGGGCACCAAGAUAAUGCAGCGGUAAAUGCCCGACACUCCACCCAUAGAAAGUAGCCACUCUCUCCGUUGUCUCUUCCAGAACGUUACAACCCACUUGCAACGUUUAAGAUAGAUUCACUUUCAGACCAGAAGUAAACAAGAAAGAUAUCAAAGUAUUGCACAUAACAUCCAAUUGCUCUUCGCUAUUUUCACAAAAGAGCAACGUAUCAUCCGCAAAUUGGAGAUGAUUAAUGCGGAGAGAGCUUCCAACUUUGACCUCGCAGAACAAACCAUCCUGAAGUAGUUGGUUUAGCAUACACGAAAACCCAUUAGCACAAAUGUUGAAGAGGAACGGUGAUAACGGAUCGCCAUGGUCAAUGAAUUUGGAUGUUAAAUACCUGACGACGCUCUGUUGGGACGCCUAAGAGCCACGUUCUAUUACUUACCCUACUCGUCUCGCCCUCAUCAUAGAUCCUUAGUCUCUUCACAUGCCUUCCUCGAGGUCUGGCUCUAUAGGGCGUGCCACAUUCUCAUUUCAAUUGAAAAUUUCCUACAACACAAAAGUCAAAAUCUACUCCUAACUGUUCAAGUGCAUUUUUAUACUGAGGCUUGCCUCGCCUGACGAGGCUUUUUUGAUUUAAUUAGAUUAAGAAUUUUGGCUCACUUUGUAAGGCUUUUGUUCUCUAUGAUACUUGUGCUUGAAUCCAGUGAUCACUAGGGUUGCCCGAGGCUUUGGCUCACUUUUGGAAGACUCUAAUAUUUUAAUAUAUUUAUUAUUAAUUAUAUUUAUUUGUUUUCAUUAUAAUGAUGAUAAUAUGCGUGGAAUUCUAAGUAUUUUUACUAUAAUAUUAAUAUAUUAGUAUUACGAAGGCUCUUGUUGGUAAAUCCGCAAGUGUACGAAUUCACCCGGUUUUAAUUAUCGAACCACAGGGAUUGUGAGUGACUAAAUUCAGCUUAAGCCUUGAGUUUGAAGGUUUGUUUUAUUAAAAUAAAGAUACAUCGAUGUAGCAAAGAUAAAAUAUAAGAAAAAUAGAGAUGGAAAUGCUUUGGGAUCUUGUUCAACUAGUCAAUUCAAGCACAUCAUUCUAAGCACAUGAACACAUGAAUCUCUCCUUGAUGAUAUAGCCUAGUUACUCACUUAUUGAUUCCUCACAUAAGCAAUUCUCUCAUACUAAAAGCUAAGCCCAAUUCCUUGUGUACUUAGUCAUUUAUAUGAGGUUUUAGAUCAUGCAAAUUCAGGCCAUCAAACCUCAACCCUUCCUCUAUUCCUAGUAGCAAGCAUAGAAGGGGUAAUCCCAAAUCGGUUCCCUAAUCUAUAACAAACUUCCGUUCUGAUUAUAGAAAAGCAUAAAGCAAGCAUGCAUACAAGCUUAGAUUGAAAUUCAGAAUAUGGGAUUCAAGAAAAGAAGAAGAACAUGUGGGAAAGAACUCAAGAUUAUAACUCAAAUAUGAAAAGUCUUACAAAGAAAACCAAAGCAAUAGCAGAGAUAUUAGCCAAGCAUUGCUUGAGCCAUGCUUGGCUAAGAACCUGAAUUACAAGCUUGGAAGCCUUCUCUCACUCUCCUAGAUGAUCUUCUACCUCUGAAUGUUACAAAGUAUGAAAAGAUAUUCAAAAUUACAAAAGAAAAUGACUAGAAUCCUAUUUAUAGGCAAAAUCACGAGUCUGGGUUGUUCCGGGCGCUCAGGCGCCAAUUCAGAGCGCCUGAGCGCCAAUUCCAUGCUGAAAAAGUGCCUCUGGAAGGCAAUUGGCGCCUAGGCGCUCAACAGGAGCGCUCAGGCGCCAAUUACUCUCUAGCAUGAUGUACACAACUAUCUAAUUGGCGCUCAACACGAGCGCCUGAGCGCUCUCGACAUGCUAGAAAGCCUCUUGACCUUCUUCUUAACUCCCCUUUAAGCCUCCCUUCAAUUUUCCAAGACUUUUGACCUUCUUUCUUCAGCAGUUUCAGACCUGAUUACUUAGGAACAAAGCAAGGAAAAAUAUCUAGGAACUCCAAGAGAUUAUUAGCACAAAAGACCCCUCAAAUAAAAUAGGAAAAUUAUGCAAGUCCUAAACUUACUUAAAAUGCAAGAAAAGUCCCUAUAAGACUAUGGAAUUACCAAAACAAAGUAAAAACACAAAGAAAGGCAAAAAUGCAUGAUAAUGCAUGAAACACUACAUGAGACACAAGAGAAAGACUCAAAACCUACAAAGAAAUGACCCUAAAAACACUACUAAAUUCGGGUCAUCACACCACUAUACUCUACGACAGCUCGCCCUCGAGCGUCACUAAGAUUAGCUUGCCCUCAAGCACAAAGAAUUACUCCCAACACACAUGCCAAAAGAGGGAUACAUUUUUAGAAAAUCGGGGGAUCAAGUAAAUGCAGUUAGUUCCAAGAGAAAAAUUCAACAAUCAACUUCAUGCUACUCUUAGAUAAAGAAGAAUUAGAGUCCACUAUGAGAAGCAUUUAGAACUAACAUCCUAGCAUGAGACAAUAAUUUAGUGCACUGAGCACACAAGCAAGUUCAUAGGUUCUGCGAAUCAUUCACUCAAGAGCAACUAAAGUUGACAAUGCAUUAUUCAAUGAGACUUCAAAAGGGUUGUAAUGUUGGCUAGGUAAAGCACAAGGUAGGUGGUCCCUAAGGAAGACUAAGGCUGCACAAAAUUUGAGUGUGGUCCUACAUGAAAACCGGAGCUUAAAGCAAUUGAUACUUAGCACACAAGUCUCUCAACCACCUUUUGUUGCAGAAUUUUUUCGUUUUUUGGAACUCCACUCAUUCUAUGGAGUUCAUUUUAUUCUUUUGACUUUUUUUUGGAACUCCAUCCGGCCAUGGAGUUCAUUUUCGCUUUUCAAUUUCCGGCCAUGGAGUUCAUUUUCUCUUUUCCCCGGCAACGGCGCAAAAAACUUGUUGGUAAAUCCGCAAGUGUACGAAUCCACCCGGUUUUAAUUAUCGAACCACAGAGAUUGUGAGUGACUAAAUUCAGUUCAAGUCUUGAGUAUGAAUGUUUGUUUUAUUGAAUCAAAGAUAUGUCGAAGUAGCAAAGAUAAAAUAAACAAAAACUCAGAAAAGAACAUGCUUUGGGUUCUUGCUCAACUAGUCAAUUCAAGCACAUGUUCUCAUGGAUCUCUCCUUGAUGCUAUAGCCUAAUUACUCACUUAUUGAUUCCUCACAUAAGCAAUUCUCCCAUACUAAAAGCUAAGCCCAAUUCCUUGUGUACUUAGUCAUUUAUAUGAGGUUUUAUAUCAUGCAAUUUCGGGCCAACAAACCUCAACCCUUCCUCUAUUCCUAGUAGCCAAGAUUGAAGGGGCAACCCCAAAUCGGUUCCCUAAUCUAUAACAAACUUUCGUUCUGAUUAUAGAAAAGUAUAAAGCAAGCAUGCAUACAAGCUUAUAUUGAUAUUUAGAAAAUGGGAUUCAAGGAAAGAAGAAGAUCAUGUGGGAAAGAACUUAAGAUUAUAACUCAAAUAUGAAAAGUCUUACAUGAAAACCAAAGCAUAAGAAGAGAGAUUAGCCAAGCAUGGCAAGAGUCAUGCUUGGCUAAGAACCUGAAUUACAAGCUUGGAAGCCUUCUCUCACUCUCCUAGAUGAUCCUCUACCUCUGAAUUUUACAAAGUAUGAAAAGAUACAAGAGAAAAUGACUAGAAUCCUAUUUAUAGGCCAAAGGGGCGUGUUUUCUGCUACCGGGACGCUCAAGCGCCAGAUCAUGGAGCUCAAGUGCCAGCAUCAGAUGCUAGCAGAAAACACCUACUGUUUAGCUGGCGCUCAGGCGCCAGACAGGGGCGCUUGAGCGCCUGUGCUCGCCCAAAAACUCCUUGACCUUCAUUUUAACUCCAUUUUAAUGCCUCCUUACUCCACUUUAAUGCCUCCUUCAAGUCUCCAAACCUCUAGACACUCCCUCUUCAGCUGUUACAACCUGAAAACAUGAUAACAAAGCUAGGAAAAUAUCUAGAAAUUUAAAGGUUAGUUUUGCACAAAGGCUCCAAAACAAGUGGAAAUUGUCUAGGACUCCUAAACUCUAAUAAAAUGCAACUAAAGCCCUUAUAAAACUACAAAAUUACUAAACUAAUGCAAAUGCACAAAUAAAAGUAAAAAUGCAUAAGAAUGUAUGAAACACUACAUGAGACACACGAAAAAGACUCAAAACUAGCAAAUAAAUGAAUCUAAAAACACUACUAAAUCCGGGUCAUCACACCACUAUACUCAACGACAGCUCGCCCUCGAGCGUCACUAAGAUUAGCUUGCCCUCAAGCAUAAAGAAUUACUCCCAACACACAUGCCAAAAGAGGGAUACAUUCUCACAAAACCGGGGGAUCAAGUGAAUGUAGUUAGUUCCAUGAGAAAGAUUCAACAAUUAACUUCAUGCUACUCUUAGAUAAAGAAGAAUUAGAGUUCACUAUGAGAAGCAUUUAGAGCUAACAAACUAGCAUGAGACAAUUGUUUAGUGCACUGAGUACACAAGUAAGCUCAUAGGCUCUGAGAAUCAUUCCCUCAAGAGCAACUAAAGUUGACAAUGCAUUAUUCAAUGAGACUUCAAAAGGGAUAUAAUGUUGGCUAGGUAAAACACAAGGUAGGUGGUCCCUAAGGAGGACUAAGGCUGCACAAAAUUUGAGUGUGGUCCUUCAUGAAAACCAGAGCUUAAAGCAAUUGAUACUUAGCACACAAGUCACUCAACCCCCUUUUGUUUCAGAAAUUUUCUUUUUUUUUUGGAACUCCACCUUUGCCAUGGAGUUCAUUUUCUCUUUUUCUCUUUUUUUUGGAACUCCAUCCAGCCCAUGGAGUUCAUUUUCUCUUUUCAAUUUUUUCAAUUUUUUUCUUUGGGGCAAGAGACAAUUGCACUUUUCAUAAACUAGCUCCAUUAAGAUUUAAGGACCACAAAUCCCCAUUUAAUCCAACCAAACAACCAGCCCAUAUGACAAAGGUAACAAAGAAUUCUCCACAAGGGCUCAAAGGGGUCAACUAGGGACAAAUAUGUUAUAAAACAAAUUCUGAAGUCCAAGAAAACCUACCAGUCUAAAAAAUGCAAGUCUCAUAAAGCUACUCUCAAGGGUGCACUAAAUGAAACACAGAACCAAGAAGUGCAAGUGAAUCAGGAUCCUCUAGUGAAAUUAUAUAGUGAAGGGUCAAAGAUGGACCCUUGUGGACUCACAUCAACUCUAUCCUCAAGACAACACUUAGAAGACCGAAGUCUCUCCCUCUCUUUCCCAAACAUACAAUCACUCCCCAAAAGAAAGCACAAAGUAUCCACUAAAAAAAAUUUCAAAACCAGCAUCAUGUGAGUGAGCUAGACUUGGGAACAUGUCAUUUGAGCAAAGGGCAUAAAGACCAAGGUAUAAAAGACUCUAAAAAAAAUGCAUGAUCAAAAAGAUAAACAAAAUCUAUAAAAGAAAAAUAUGCUAAAAAUGCAUGGACUAAACUUAGAGUAAGAAAAGAAACCUCCUUUCAAGUGAUUGAGUGCCUCCAGGUGUUCUCCACUUUUAUUUCCUGAAACCAUAACAAAAGAAACAAAAACGUAAAUCUGAAAAAAAAACAUGGGUUGUCUCCCAUUCAGCCCUAAGUUAUAGUCUUAGGUAGACUAUACUUCAAACUCGUAACUCAAACCAAAAAUCACAAAUAAUCCCCGGCAACAGCGCCAAAAACUUGUUGGUAAAUUCGCAGGUGUACGAAUCCACCCGGUUUUAAUUAUCGAACCACAGGGAUUGUGAGUGGCUAAAUUCAGCUUAAGCCUUGAGUUUGAAGGUUUGUUUUAUUAAGAUAAAGAUACGUCGAUGUAGCAAAGAUAAAAUAAAAGAAAAACAGAUAUGGAAAUGCUUUGGGUUCCUGUUCAACUAGUCAAUUCAAGCACAUCAUUCUAAGCACAUGAUCUCAUGAAUCUCUCCUUGAUGAUAUAGCCUAGUUACUCACUUAUUGAUUCCUCACAUAAGCAAUUCUCUCAUACUAAAAGCUAAGUCCAAUUCCUUGUGUACUUAGUCAUUUAUAUGAGGUUUUAGAUCAUGCAAAUUCAGGCCAUCAAACCCCAACCCUUCCUCUAUUCCUAGUAGCAAGCAUAGAAGGGGUAAUCCCAAAUCGGCUCCCUAAUCUAUAACAAACUUCCGUUCUGAUUAUAGAAAAGCAUAAAGUAAGCAUGCAUACAAGCUUAGAUUGAAAUUCAGAAUAUGGGAUUCAAGAAAAGAAGAAGAACAUGUGGGAAAGAACUUAAGAUUAUAACUCAAAUAUGAAAAGUCUUACAAAGAAAACCAAAGCAAUAGAAGAGAGACUAGCCAAGCAUGGCGAAGCCUUCUCUCACUCUCCUAGAUGAUCCUCUACCUCUGAAUGUUAUAAAGUAUGAAAAGAUAUCCAAAAUUACAAAAGAAAAUGACUAGAAUCCUAUUUAUAGGCAAAAUCACGAGUCUGGGCUGUUCCGGGCGUUCAGGCGCCAAUUCAGAGCGCCAAAGCUCCAAUUCCAUGCUGAAAAAGUGCCUCUGGAAGGCAAUUGGCGCCUAGGCGCUCAACAGGAGCGCUCAGGCGCCAAUUACUCUCUAGCAUGAUGUACACAACGAUCCAAUUGGCGCUCAGGCGCUCAACACGAGCGUCUGAGCGCUCUCGACAUGCUAGAAAACCUCUUGACCUUCUUCUUAACUCCCCUUUAAGCCUCCCUUCAAUUUUCCAAGCCUUUUGAUCUUUUUUCUUCAGCAGUUUCAGACCUGAUUACUUAGGAACAAAGCAAGGAAAAAUAUCUAGGAACUCCAAGAGAUUAUUAGCACAAAAGAUCCCUCAAAUAAAUUAGGAAAAUUAUGCAAGUCCUAAACUUACUUAAAAUGCAAGAAAAGUCCCUAUAAGACUAUGGAAUUACCAAAGCAAAGUAAAAACACAAAGAAAGGCAAAAAUGCAUGAGAAUGCAUGAAACACUACUUGAGACACAAGAAAAAGACUCAAAACCUACAAAGAAAUGACCCUAAAAACACUACUAAAUCCGGGUCAUUAGCUCUCUUGAGAAAAGAUUCUCCUACAAUAUCAAGGUUUUAAAGACCACACUUGGUGAGGAGUUAGGGGGAGCUACACUGUGGUAUCAGAGCUUAGGUUGAGAAUACCAAAGCUGUUGAUGAAUUUGUCAAGUUGGUCGAGUCUUGUUGGGAAGUAGGUUUGUCAUGCUAGGUUGUGUGACUUGUGUCUUGUGCUUGUUUGACUGUGUGAGAAGCAGUGAUGCUUCAAUUGUUUGCUUGUGUGAAUUUCUCUAUGAUUUUGAAAGAAAGGAAUUUCUUUGUGAAUCUGAUAUGUUUACCACAUGAGCAUCUGGAUGGAUUGGUUAAUCCGGUAUCAUGUUCUUUUGAAUUAUACCCUUAAGGUGGUGAUUAUUUUGAAUCGAGAAUCUAUUAUCUAACCGCAAAUCUUAUAAGGACGACUUAAAAAAGGGUCUUAGGAGUAUCUGUUGGCAGCAAGUGUAGAUAAGAAGAAAAAUGAAUAAAAAAUUGCAAUUAGCAGGGAUGAUGAUAUACGUAACAUACUAGAGGUGAAAUAUUUCACCGGUGUUUUUUCUGAUUAUGUUCUACAUUGCAAAAUAUGAGUAUGCGUGUCGAACGACAUAUAGAUAGUGAAGAUUUUCAGAGUACUGCAGUCUUUUUAUGAAUCGAAGAUUGGGUUUGAUACAUACAUGUCGUGAAUAGUACUCCGUCACUAAUUACUUUGCAACAAUUCUCUUUCAUCAUUUUGUCGUUACUCUUAUUCUAUACACUAGGAUUUUGUGACGGUUAUAAAUCCACAGCAAAUAGUAUUGUCACUAAAUACUUCAAGAUGGAGAACUUCUUUCAGUAUCUUUUAUUCACUGGGACAUUGUGACAGAUUAUGUUUCAGUCGCAAAGAAAGUCUAGAAAAAUAAAAGUAAAAUAAAAACUGAGUAACACCGAUGGAAGUGUAGAUUUUAGAGAAAAAAAUGCUUAAAUACUCCGGAGGUCCCUGGAAUUGUAUGCCGUACGAAAAUAAGACCCUGGAAAAAAAAUUCCAAUUCCCGAUCUUUGGAAUUUUUUUUUUUAAAUCUAAAUAAGUCCCUACGUGUGUUUUCAGCCUAUGUGUCACAAAUUUUACCAUGUCAUCAUGUCCACGUCACUUCCACAUGGCUUUUAUAUUUCCAUGUCAUAUAAUUAAUAAUUAUAAUUUAAUUAAGUCAUCAUAUAAUUAAAACUAGUAAUUUUUUUUUUGUUUUUCUUUAAAUUCCAUAUUUUCCACAUCUAAUGAUGAAGAACAAACCGAGAAAAUCUUAGAAAUUAAAAAACCCAGAAAUAUCUUCAUCUCCUUCUCCAUCAUUAAACCCACAAAUCAAAACAUCUUCAUCUCCUUUUUCAUUGUUCAUCAUCUUCAUCAAAAGCCUCAAUCGAAACAUUUCAGUACCAAAUUUAAAAAAUCAGAAUCUCAAUGUUAAUUAAAAACUCAAGCAAUUAAAAAACGCAGGCCAAGUUCUGAAUCUUAAUCAUCCACUAUUCUUCUGCAUCCUUUAGCUUCUUCCUUUCUCUCAUCACAGCCAAGUUCUUAUCUUCUAGAAAAUGAAUCAAGAACCUUCUACCAUGCUCCUGCCCUCUUCUGCUAAUCGGCAACCUCCAUCAACUUUCUACGCCCUAUCUCAGAAAUAGACCCAUCUCUAUUUCUUCCCCAAAUUUCCAUUCUGUAAAUCGAAAAAGCUAAAGAGAGAGAUCUGGAAGGGAUGAAGUCAGAGGAGGAGAAAAUCAACGGAUGGUGUUAGGAUUGGAGAGUAUUACUGGUGGAUCUUUCAGCUUCAAACCUGAUGACCCGAGGUUUAUUCUAUGUUUUUUGAGUCCUUCUUGUUUCUUUCUUUUCCUUUUUGCAUCAUUUAUUGAGUUUUAAGUCAAGUUGAGUCCCUUUUUAAUUCAUAAUUGCAUCUGCAUUAGUUUAAGUGUUUUUAAUCAAUUUAUUUGGUUUUUUUAUUAGUUUAGUUAGAGAGUAAUUCCUAUGGUCAGUUUUGAGUUGAAGUCCUUUGAAUUCAUGAGUGUUGAUUGCACAUUGGGGGUUUUAUUUGCUGAAUUGAAUGAAGGGAUGAUGAAUUAUCAUGAUUAAUGACAUGUUCCCAUGAGUUACAUUGUUGUUUUGAUGGAUUCUUAAGGUUCUUUUCAGGUUUGAUAGGUUUUUGAAGGCUAAUGAUGAUGGUUGAAGGCCAAGUAAUGAGCCAUGAUGAUAGGUGAAGAGGUAGUUACAAAAUUGAAGAAGAAUCUGAUGAGUCACGCAUGUGCGUCGGCUAUGUCACGCACAUGCGUGGCAGUUAUGUGCGAAGAAAUGUGGAAAGGGUUGAAGGCCAAGCAUGUGCGCCACCUAGGCCACGCACAUGUGUGGUGGGAUCACAUGAAGGCUGAAAUUUAACAGAUGAUCCACGCAUGUGCGUGGAAGAGGCCACGCACAUGCGUGGUGCGCCGCUGGAAACUCUAUAAAUAGGGUUUUUGUUAUUUCUUUUAGGAUCUUGUAACUUUUUGAACAAAACUUAGAGGUUUAGGUUCUUGGAGCUUGUGGGAGGCUUCUUGGUACUAUUGCUUUAGGUUUUUGUUCUUUUAAUUUGCAUUAUGAAUUCCCUAUCCAUGCUUGACUAGUUUACCUUUGUACCUUGGGGAUUGUGGAUCCUAGUUUAAGUUAUGUUAUGAACUUCUGAGUUUCUUAUAUGAAUAAAGUUUCCUUUUUAUGUAUCUUUUCUCUGUUUCAAUACUCUCUUGAAUGCAUGCAAGUGUUUGACUUUCUUCUUUCACAACGGUAGUUGGUAAGGAUUAAGGGGCUUGAGAUUAGAUUGAUUUGUUUACUACCACUUAGGUAUAAGGGUGUGAACUUUUUGUGUUGGCAUGAACAUAGAACAAUAAUUCUUCAAUUGAAUUGACUAGGUACUAAGGCAUUAGGCUUAGCAACUGAAAUUGAAUGAUUUACUUGAUUAAGGUAUUAACAAGUGAAGGUAAAGGCUACAUCGCCAUAGAAAUGUUUCUAAGAGUUCAUAUAUGAAUUAGAUUGUGAGUACCAUAACUGAAUUAGGUGAAACUUGACCCAGGGUACUGUUUUCUCAUAAGUCUUACAAGAUUCUUGUUUAUGCUUUUGUUACAAUUGCUUUCAUCACAACAAACUUUAAUCUAUAUUUCUUUUUCUUUUCCAUUCCAAACAUUAAUCUCCAAGAUCAAAUCAACAAACAACUAUCCCUGUGGUUUGACAAUCUUUUGUAUUACUUCGAUCAAUCCGUGCACUUGCGAAAUUGCUAUCAAAACCCAUUAGAUCGAGAUGGGUUUUCCGGAUCUGGGUUUCGCCAUCGUCGCAGGAUGAUGUCAAGGCCAAGCUCAAAUACGCUUCUUCAUCCUCUGCUGCUUCGAUCUCCAACGUCGUGAAGCUCUACCUCCAUGUUGGUGGGAACACGCCCAAAGCCAAAUAGGUAACCUCGACAAACUCACGUUGUACACUUUCGUUAAGACCCACCGAGUCGACAGAGACUCCGAGGAAGAGGAGGAGCGGAGCAUGAAAAGGAAGAAUCUUAGUGGGUUUUGAAGGUGGGUUCCAAAGUUUGAAGAAGCUGCGAAUGGUGGUACACAGAGCCUUGCGCUUGGUGCUUUGGACAACAGUUUCUUGGUGGGUGAAAAUGGUAUUCAGGUUGUGAACAUUCAUGAUGGGUGAAAAUUUGUUUUUGUUUAUGAUUGAAUUUCUUGAUUCUUCUUAAUUUGUUUCCAAAUUUUAUGUUGUUGAUUUACUGGAGAUGAAUAUGGAGCAGAAUUAGAUAGUAAUGAUAUUUUUAAAAUUAAUUAAAGAUAAAUGUUUAAUUAAGAUAAUAUGUUUUUUGAUUUUUUUGAUUUUUCUGGAUUUUAUAUUAAAGAUGUUGAUGAAGAUGUUUGAAGAUGAUGUAGAUGUUAGAAGAAGAUGAAGAAUGUUCUGGGUUUUUUAUUUUUUAUUUUUGGAUUUUUAUUUUUGAGUAUUUAAUAAGUUGUGGAAUUAAAAAAUGACUAGGAUAUAUAAAAAGUCACGUGGACAUGAUGAGAGGGUAAUAUUUGUGACACAUAUGCUGAAAACACACGUAGGGACUUAUUUAGAUUAAAAAAAAAUUUAGGGAUCCGGAUUCGGGAAUUUUUUUUUUCAGGGACUUAUUUUCGUACGACAUACAAUUCCAGGGACCUCUAGAGUAUUUAAGCCGAAAAAAAUUAAAAAACGAAAGUGAUAUCGCCAAUGAGCAAAAGUUGUAAUAAACUUUCCAAAUUGCACCAUAUAGGUAAGAAAAUCUAACAGGGUGAGAGAUAGAGACGUGUUCUUACUGAUCUAACCCCUUUCGUGAAUAAUAUCAUCCUCGGAAGAAAGUAGAAACGCCACGGAUUUUUUUACACAUUAUCGGUUCUAAUCGUGGAGGUUGGUCGAUCGCAACACUCGACGCCAAUGUUCUUGCCCGAAAAGAACAAGAGAGCAUACCAUAUUUAAAAGGUAAGAUCCCAAAAUGACCUAUAUGUUAUGUAAUAGAUUGAACCUAAAUCUAAGAGGUCAUCUCGAUCUCCUUUUAUAAGGGUGUAUAUGGAUUUGCAUCUUGAUUCUCUAAAUGUCCCAAACAUAAAUAACUCACCCUAAAGAGGGUGGGGUUGUCUAAAUUUAGAAAACAUAUAAGUUGUCAACAUUGUGUAAUAAACAUACAACUCACCGAAAAGGGCAGCUAAUAUACAUAAGUGAUAUCGGAGCAGCCACGCUCGAAAAGGUCGCCUGUCAAAUGAAGAUAUCGUAGUUAACAGCUUGCCCAAGCUACGUGACUCUCCCUUGAGAGAUUCAUCACUCCCCAUGUCCAUAAGAAAGUCAUAUUGAGGGUAAUCGCCUCUGUCGAACACAUCCUAGGUUGUUGUGAAAACAAAGCUAGAGGGAAAAGUUAUUAGACAUCUGCACCAACAAGAUAGAUUUUUUAAUAAAAUAAAAUAACAAAAUCAGACUUGAUACCAAAAUAACAAAACAAAGGCAGACUUUUUUUCCUUUGGCCACCAGUCCCCACAUAACUCAUCUGGUUCGGGAUAUGGUAGUGAUGUCCCUGGCCACAAAGGUAUUAUUUUUUACCUCAGAGAGAUCGAACCCAGGCCAGAAGUUUAGGUGAAAUCCCUUAAGGAAAUGUACAUUCACCACUUGUGCCACACCUUGUAGUUAAACAAAGACAGACUUGAUCCUAACUAGAAAUAACAUAGUAUUUAUUUUUUUACGAAAAUAAAAUAACAACCUAGAGUAAAAGAAGAUUCGAUAAGAUAAGAAAUAGAAGAUGAUUAGAAAUAGAAGUAGGAUAAACAUAAAAUAUUUUUUUUUCUAAGAGCACGAGUGUUCCGACAAGGGUUUCAUAAGGGGUCGGAAACAUAAAACACUAAGAGAAAUGUACAGAGUAUUAUUUCCGUGUGUAGAAGAUGAUUUACAUAGGAGGGGGAUGUCUUCCUUUUAUAGCAGGUUGACCUCUGAACCCUAAUGAAUGUAUUCAUUACUGUGGCGACCCGACUCAUUCCCUUCCCUAAAGCAUGCAUAUUAAUAAAUAGAGCAAAGACAAAGAUCAACAGAAAAACAUGCACAGACAUAUUAGUUCACAUAGAGUCAUGUUACACACAACCAUAACAUAGUCUUAAACAUCUUACACAGGAAAGAGAAUAAACCCAGUCCCACAAGUCAGUAUUGACGAGCUGAUCAAGGAACCAAAGUCCUUCUUUAGUUACAGGCUAUUAACGGCCAGCUACAUACUAGACUUCACACAUGUAUGCACAACACACACACAAGCUGCUCCUGCUAAUAGCUAUUCAGCUCGUCCAUCUUUGAGCAUGCGAUCCUCAUAAUUCUUUCUUCACGUCUUCCUAGUCAGCCACUAAAGGCAAAGAGAAGAAAAAGAAAUACAUACAACGAGAGGGGUGAGAAGCAAUUCAACACAAUCAUAUUAGGGAAUAGCAAAAUAUAAAUGAGCUUCACACCACAAAAUCAUCGUAUGCAAUGCACAACUACUAUGCAUGUGGGCCCAUACGGGGAACAACUCAUCCCGUCACCUCGGAAAGUCGUCGGGAAUAGAGUUCGGAACGGCUCAUCGAACCCCUGUUGACCGACCACGAUGAUCAUCAGGGGGCCUGCAGAAUGACUAGGAUCGCGAUGGGAUAAACCUCAAACAGCUUUUGGAGAAUCCCACCUAGCAAGACCCAAAAACCACAUACCUAUCGCCUGGUACCCUUAGAUCUCUCAGCUUCACCCAAUGGAACUGCCUGGCCAAGACAGUCCAGUUGGGGUCUACUGUCUUACCGACCAACACCUCAUCCACCGGAUUGAGGCCAAUGCAAAUGAUGCAUUCUCACAUCCAUUCAAGAGGAACACCACACCCUUGGUAAUAUCUGGGACUCCAUCCCAACAACAACAUCUGAGACUCCACCUGAGUCUCCGAGACUCCACCUGAGUCUCCAACCAUCAACAGGAUACCCCAUUUAAAGUGUUCGUCUUCCAAAUCAUUUCAUAAAAUGUUCUUUUUAAGAGUCGUGAAAACAUUUUUGAAAACAAAUUACAUUUUGUAAUCAUUUUCCAAACUUAAGCUGAAAAAAAAAUCAUUUUAAAGAAAGCUUUUCAUAAACUUUUUCAAAGUAUAUUUAAAACAACUUCUUUUCUUCAAAUGGGGAUCCUCUGUCAUUACCAUACCGGGUAUACCUCAUCAACACCUCAUCAAGAAAAGAGCAUCAUCAGCAAACCACAAUUAUCAGCAUGAGGUUAACAACACAAUCAUACAGCUCAUUCCGCAUAAGCAUCAUCAUCAACAUGCAUCAUAGAUCUCAUAUAUCAAUCAACAAUAUAAGCCUCAAAUAUCACAUAUAUUAUCACAACAAACAUGCAUCUUCACAUAGCACAUAUCUCAUCAAUAUCGUCUCAAGUCAUCAUGAUCCACAAGCAUCAAGAAUUAACACAAUAAGCACAUAAAGUCAAGUAACAAACAAGGACCUAAGGAGGGUCCAACACCCAUUUAUUCGCACUAUUCCCCCAUCCUGAGUUGAGGACCACUCCCCCCCUUACCUUGAGUCCUUGCUAUUUGUUUGCCUCGUUUAGUUCCCUCAGCUUCCUCUGCAUAAGUUUUUACAACUCAUUUAGUCUAUAAAGUGAUUUACUUGUCAUUCCUCUUUAUUACCUAACCUCAUCACUUUUCUUAGACUCAUAAUCUUCUAUUGCAUGAGAAAGAGUAAGGAUUUUAGCCGAUAAAUCAUUUAACUAACUACUUCUCAUAUACUUAGGCCAUUUCUUCACUUGGUCCUUUUUCAUUGCACAAACAGUUUGAUAUUAAAUUAUCAUUUCAGGAUUAAGAAUUGAUAGAAAUUAUUCAUUUAAUCACAUAAGCAAAUUAUUAAUUAGACAAUUAAUCGAGAUUAACAAAAGUUAACAAGUUCUUCAAUUAAUUAGCUCUAACACACUUGGAUUAAUUCUUCACUUUACCAUUAACUUCAUAUUAACUUAGAUUAUGAUUUUACCAUUUAGAAAUUAUCAAUUCAAUUAGGUGAAUUAACAUCUAAUUAUUCAAUUAAUCAAGAUUAACAAAAGUUAAUAACAUCUGAGUGAAUUUUAAAUUAAUUUAUAAUCUGUCCAGAUUUUAGAAAUCAAAUGAAAACAUAAUCUAGGUCACAUGUACCCUUAAACUAUCAUUUUAAAGCCAUAUUAAGUUCAAAAUCAUUCAUGCACCAAGUCUCGUGACUUUAUAUUGUUCUGGUCACAUUACUUAACCCAAAAAUCAACUAAAUGAUCACAGAAGGAAUUAAAUGCGUCCAGAGUUGUCCAGACGUGUCCAAGGCCAUUUUAAUGGAGAUAAAGAAGGUGAAAUUCAAAUCAUUGCUCUCUACUACUUCUAGUUCGUUUCCAGACCUGUAAAAAUUAAUUUUAGGAUAACAGAUGAUUACAUAAUUAAUUAUAACAGUCCUAGGCUGUCCAGGGAGUCCAGUUUGAUAAAAAAUGAACAUGCAUGGUGCCAUUUAAGUUUAAUCUUGAAAAUCAUGUGCCCACUAGUUAAAACUGUGUUUUUCAUGUAUAAAAUCAAAGAAAUAAGCAUAAAAAAGUGAUUAGAAGACGAUGCAGACGGCGGCGGGUACGGCGGCGAUCGUCGCCGGAGGCAAGCUGGGAACAGUGGUCGAUUCGUCUCGUUUCCAGAAGCACGGCGGUGGUCGAAUUGUCAAGUUUGGAGGUCGGAGUAAGGAGAAAAACAUGUUCAAAGUGAUUGAUUUUCCGGCGGGUUCGCCGGAAAAUUCAUAGGCUGACGGGAUGAUGCAUUUUUGCCCAGAUUUGAUGAUUUCGUGCCCAGGACCUUCCCAAAAGCUCCAUAUUUACCCAUUAGGCACCCAGGGACGUGUUUGAAUAGGUUUUGGGAAGAAUUGAAGUGGUUUUCAGUGAAGAACAAAGAAGAUGAAAGAAUGGUUAAGUUAAGAACUUUGAGAGAGGAUUUAGAGCUUUUCUUACGUGCUCUGAGGCUCAGGUCAGGUCUGAGGGCUUGUGUGAUGAUAGGGCUGUAAGAAGAGUCGAAUUUAUAGGCCAAAAGAUGAAAGGAUUGAAAGAAAAAUGGCCUAGAAGAAGCAUGCACAAAGACAAGUGUUCUUGAACUUGUCUCUUCACCAUGAAGUCAAGUGUCAUGCUUCAUGCACUAAACAAGUCUUAAAACUUCUAAUUAAAGCUUAUUUAGUCAAAUCUAUGAAAUAGUCAAGGUGUGUGUCUGAAUGGGGUUUUGAUUUUCUUCAUUUAGUCANNNNNNNNNNNNNNNNNNNNNNNNNNNNNNNNNNNNNNNNNNNNNNNNNNNNNNNNNNNNNNNNNNNNNNNNNNNNNNNNNNNNNNNNNNNNNNNNNNNNGAAUUUUAAAUUAAUUUAUAAUCUGUCCAGAUUUUAGAAAUCAAAUGAAAACAUAAUCUAGGUCACAUGUACCCUUAAACUAUCAUUUUAAAGCCAUAUUAAGUUCAAAAUCAUUCAUGCACCAAGUCUCGUGACUUUAUAUUGUUCUGGUCACAUUACUUAACCCAAAAAUCAACUAAAUGAUCACAGAAGGAAUUAAAUGCGUCCAGAGUUGUCCAGACGUGUCCAAGGCCAUUUUAAUGGAGAUAAAGAAGGUGAAAUUCAAAUCAUUGCUCUCUACUACUUCUAGUUCGUUUCCAGACCUGUAAAAAUUAAUUUUAGGAUAACAGAUGAUUACAUAAUUAAUUAUAACAGUCCUAGGCUGUCCAGGGAGUCCAGUUUGAUAAAAAAUGAACAUGCAUGGUGCCAUUUAAGUUUAAUCUUGAAAAUCAUGUGCCCACUAGUUAAAACUGUGUUUUUCAUGUAUAAAAUCAAAGAAAUAAGCAUAAAAAAGUGAUUAGAAGACGAUGCAGACGGCGGCGGGUACGGCGGCGGGUACGGCGGCGAUCGUCGCCGGAGGCAAGCUGGGAACAGUGGUCGAUUCGUCUCGUUUCCAGAAGCACGGCGGAAAAUAAACAGAAGAAGAAGUAGAAAGAAAAGGAGAAGAGUACAUAAUAUAUAUAGAAGAAGGGUGCCACCUAAUAUGCACCACUUUUUAGUGGUGCAACCUUGCACCACUAUACCAAUUGUCAAUUUUACUCCUGUUAAAAAAAAUUAUUUUAUAAAAAGAAAAAAAUAUUGGUAUUACCGGGUGGAUUUUGAUGGGAUUAAUUUUUUGAACAGGGGUAAAAUGGACAAUUAAUAUAGUGGUGCAAAGUUACACCACUAAAAAGUGGUGCAUAUUAGGUAGACCCUAGAAGAAGAAGUAGGAAAUGGGUCUGCAGAAGAAGGAAGAAAAAUGAAAAAGUGUAAUGAGAGAGAGAGGGAUGUCGACAGAGUGAGUGAGGGAGGAUAAGGAUGUUUAGAUAUUUAUGAAAGAUAUUUGUAAACUGGUAUAAAUUGAUUUAGACACUGAAGAAUUUAGCUCACAAAGUUAAGAGAAAAAUAUAUAAUGGAUAUAUAACUAUACAAAAAAUUAUGAGGAACUUUAUGAAAUAGUAAAAUAUAAAUUAUGAUCACUUUGAACAAAUUAAAAUGAUUCAUGAACUAAGAAAUGAGUAGAAAUUAAACUAAAGAAUAAUUGUUAGAUAAUUAGAACAAAUAUGACGUUGUCAUAUUAUACAAUUAAGCUAAAUAUCAUUCCAUAAAAGGUCGAUACUUGCUCUGGGUUCCUUUUAAAUGAGAAAAUGGCUUGAACGCAGUCUGCUUUAAAAUAUGCCGCAAAACUACUUUUUGCAAUUAACGUCGGAUGGAGAAACUUCCUUCGGAAGAAAGAUUGGAAACAUCGAAAGAAAUCGGUACACGCGUGUGGAAUCUUCGUUUGAAGCUCCGAAUAGAACAAGUCUUCAUCGACAGUUUAUUUUAAGGUUCUUGAACUAUCAGGGAUUCAGUUUCGGCAAACUUACGAGAUUUUGAAUCGGACGUUCGUACAUUCCAGGGUUUCGUGUCGAAACACUUGUCAUGAAAAGGAAUAAGAGAAAUUCUUAUAUUCCUCUGAAUGAUUUUUGAAUUUCGUUUCUACAAUGCUUUAAGAGCGGAUUAGCCCUUCAAUAACGCUUUCCCCCUAAGGCGGAAGUGAAUAUGGCUCGUGCUAUAACCUACCGUGACUAUAGUACUAUUCUUAGUCAUUUCUUGAACUUUUUUCUUCAUUAAUUCAUUAAAAUUAGUGAACACUCGUUUAUGUUUCCUCUCACGCUUACACUGUAACCAAGGCGUGAGUCGGAAAUUAAUUAAUUAUCCUAAUCUAAAAAUGUGGGUCUUACAGGGAUGAUGAAUUUUAGCCCAAAUUUGAUGCUUUCGUGCCCAGAACCUUCCCAAAAGCUCCAGAUUUACCCAAUAGGCACCCAGGGACGUGUUUGAAUAGGUUUUGGGUAGAAUUGAAGUGGUUUUCAGUGAAGAACAAAGAAGAUGAAAGAAUGGUUAAGUUAAGAACUUUGAGAGAGGAUUUAGAGCUUUUCUUACGUGCUCUGAGGCUCAGGUCAGGUCUGAGGGCUUGUGUGAUGAUAGGGCUGCAAGAAGAGUCGAAUUUAUAGGCCAAAAGAUGAAAGGAUUGAAAGACAAAAGGCCUAGAAGAAGCAUGCACAAAGACAAGUGCUCUUGAACUUGUCUCUUCACCAUGAAGCCAAGUGUCAUGCUUCAUGCACUAAACCAGUCUUAAAACUUCUAAUUAAAGCUUAUUUAGUCAAAUCUAUGAAUUAGUCAAGGUGUGUGUGUGAAUGGAGUUUGGAUUUUCUUCAUUUAGUCAAACUAUUAUAUUUUAUUUGAUUUUUCUUUGAUUUAAUUUCUAGUAAAUCUUAUGUUAAUGCACUAAUGUACUAAUAUAUUUAAAUCCUAAUCGUUUACUUAAUGAACAUAUUUUCUUUCUAAUCCUUUAAAUCAAGCACACACAACAACAACAACAACAACAACAACAACAACAACAACAACAACAACAACAAUAAUAAUAAUAAUAAUAAUAGUGGAGAGAAAAAUGAGAUGUUACAAUUACAAUUGAUCAAUCAUUUCCGUAAAUGGGGUGUAAUAACUACUGUGCUGGUUGACUUGCGAAUCAAUCUCGUCUGUCAAGGAAGCCCUUCAUCACCUGGUCGGCUGACUUGGUGCCAGACUGUGUUGGUCAGCGACAGUCAUGACCUUUGACCAAGCGCGUGAUCAGCGGUCGGGUUGCUUCUUUAUCAACGGUUGGAUGUCUUCGUAAUGGAGUGGGCUUUUACAUUAGUCUUCUAUCAUGUAAGCCCAAACUUCACCUGUCUAGCUCAAACUUCGGAGGGAAGCCUGACCAUCUAGUUCAAAGUCCAUGAUGGUACACAACCCCCCAAAGCUUGUGGUUAAAUGCUUUAGACCGCAAAGCCUUAAGAGAGCUUGUGUGUGCCAUUGUUAAAUGUUUUGCAACUUCUUCCACUGCGUCCUCUUGUGGUUUAACUUUUCGUGGUCAUCCUUAAUGUCGGCUUAGACAGCUAGUUAGCUUCUUCACGGUCAGUCUUCUCCCUCUUGGAACAUGCAUGGUCUUGUUGGCCUUGGAUGGUUUUCUCCCUUCAUGGUCAGUAUUCUCUCGCUUGGUUCGUGUACUUCACCAGUCAACCCCCUUCCCUAUCAUACUGGUCGACCUCCUCCUUCCCCGGCUGGCGUUCUCUCUCUAAGUUCGUGCGUUGCACCGGUUGACCUCCUCCCCUACCACACCGGUCGACCUUCACCUCUUCCGCUUCGGUCGAUCUCCUCAUCUCUUCCUUCCUUCUCCUUUUCUUUUUCCACCAUAUUUUCAAAUUUCCCUCUCUUGCAACCUUCUUUCUCCUAGUUCAUGUGCUUCAACGAUCGACUUCCUCCUUCCACUGUCAGCUCUGGUUGACAUCCUCCUUCUAUAGUCAGCCUCCCCUCUCCUAGCUCAUGUACUUCAACGGUCGACUUCCUUCUUCCACGGUCGGCUCCGGUCGACCUCCUUCUUCUAUGGUCAGCCUUCUUUCUCCUGUUUUCGUCCUUUUCUGAUUACAGCUACAUUCUCUCUCCAGCUUUCCGCGAGAUUUGUCUUCUCCAUCAAACUAAACACUUUUCUCUUUCUUUUCUCCUUCUUUCAUUUUGAGCUUUCAGUUAAGCAAGUGUUUGAAAUCUCCGCUUAAGGAGAACCGACGACGCGGUAGGCUUGGUUACUCAAAGCAGCAUCCGUGACAUGCUUAAUUGAGUAACCAGGUGAUUUUUGACCUCGACGCCGAACAUGGAGUUGGCGGCGAAGUAACUCGCUUGGUUGAGUUACCAAGGGGUGCGAUGUCAACGGCGAACAUGGAGUUGGCGGAGAAGCGACGCACUUGGUUGAGCAACCAAGUGGUGCGGUGUCGACGCUGAACAUGGAGUUGGCGGAGAAGUGACGUGCUUGGUUGAGAAACCAAGUGGUGCGGUGUCGACGCUGAACAUGAAGUUAGAGAAGAAGCGACGUGCUUGGUUUAGUAACCAAGUGGUGCGGUGUUGACGUCGAACAUGGAGUUGGCAGAGAAGCGACGCACUUGGUUGAGAAACCAAGUGGUGCGGUGUCGACGCUGAACAUCGAGUUAGCGGAGAAGCGACGCGCUUGGUUUAGUAACCAAGUGGUGCGGUGUCGACACUGAACAUGGAGUUAGCGGAGAAGUGACGCGCUUGGCUUAGUAAUCAAGUGGUGCGGUGUCGAUGCCGAACAUGGAGUUCGUGGAGAAGCGACGCGCUUGGUUUAGUGACCAAGUGGUGCGGUGUCGACGCCGAACAUGGAGUUGGCGGAGAAGCGAUGCACUUAGUUGAGAAACCAAGUGGUACUUUUGGAAAAGUAGAACACACACAUAUUUACGUCUUUUGGGCCUCAUCAAGAACUCUUCUCUUACGGAAAAGAAAAGAGUACUCUCUACUUUUAUUCAGCAAGAAACAAACGUCAAAUACAGAAAAACUGAAACAACAAAAGCUUAGGGCGUUUGAAAGCCUAGAGCACUAGUUGUAGUAGAACUUCAGGUUGUUGGCGUUCCAAGAGAGGGAUAUAGCACGACCUGACUACGCAGGUGAGCAUGGCUGACAGAGUCAUGAUUGGAUCCCCUUCUUCCGGGUUUGGCUGCGAGGAACCUUCAAGGGAUUGAACUAUGAGUCCUUAUGUCUUGUCCAGACAUUGCUCAUCAUGUUGUUGGUGUUAUGUCGGCUCAGACUAGUUUGGUCUCGACCCUGAUUGCCUUGUCGAAGGUGCCCUCGAUCGGUGAAGGGAUCUGUCAGUAUGGGUUGGUUGGUCUCAUGACGCGCUCUUUCCUCCUUAUCCCAAUCCGCUUUCAAGUGCUUGUUCUCUUCUUGUAUGAUGAACGACGCUGCCCUCUUGUGAAUUUCAUCCAACGAUUGCGCAUGACGGAUGGACAGAUCCUCGCUGAAGGGACCCGCUGACAAACCAUUUUCAAAUGCCUCGAUACAAAUUGUUGGAUCUUUGUUUCUAGCCUGCAUGAACACAUUAGUGAACCUGAAGAAGUAAUUUUUCAAUGUUUCACCUGACUUUUGACGGAUGUUGAAAAGGUUGGCUGAGGUGAUCUAGUCGCCUUGCUUGGCAGAGAAUUUUGAUAGAGAACGUUGGGAAAAGUCACUGAACGUGACUACAGGUCUGGGUGGAAGGCUGGAGAACCAUGCAUGUCCUGAUUUUGUUGUCGGAGCUCUACCAUUCCAGCCAUCUAGGCUUGUAUCGCCUGGUUUUGCUGCUGCAUCUGUGCAAUCAAAACGUUCAUGGUCUCCUCUGUUUGAGGAGUUGAACCAUUUGAGCCGUUGACGUGAGAUCUGGUCUCCACCAUGCUAGUCAAUGUACCUUGAGGACUCGGGAAAAGUUUUACCGAGGCCUCACGGUGGGCGCCAAUGUUCCGACAAGGGUUUCCAAAGGGGUCGGAAACAUAAAAGACUAAGAGAAAUGUACGGAGUAUUAUUUCAGUGUGUAGAAGAUGAUUUACAUAGGAGAGGGAGGUCUUCCUUUUAUAGCAGGUCGACCUCUGAACCCUAAUGAAUGUAUUCAUUACAAUUGACAAAUCAUGUCCGUUAAUGGGGCGUAAUAACUACUGUGCUGGUUGACUUGCGAAUCAAUCUCGUCCGUCAAGGAAGCCCUUCAUCACCUGGUCGACUAACUUGGUGCCAGACUGUGUUGGUCAGCGACAGUCAUGACCUUCGACCAAGCGCGUGAUCAACGGUCGAGUUGCUUCCUUAUCAACGGUUGGAUGUCUUCGUAAUGGAGUGGGCUUUUACAUUAGUCUUCUAGCAUGUAAGCCCAAACUUCACCUGUCCAGUCCAAACUUCGGAGGGCAGCCUGGCCUUCCAGUAGGGACCUGACCAUCUAGUUCAAAGUCCAUGAUGGUACAAUGAGCAUGACUUUGAAGGCAUGGUAGUGUUAUUAAUUUUUUCUAAGCUUAAUAGCACUUUUGGUUCCCCAACUUUGCCCUUAUGCGAAAAUCGUCCCCCAACUACGAAAUUGGCAAAAACCAUCCUCAACGUUUACACGUCAUUGCAAAACUGGUCUGUCGUUACAUUUCCGUCUGAAAACUAACGUGAGAGGCUGAUGUGGUUCCCUCACGCAUGUCUCAUGUGACUUUCUUGAGAGAGAUUGAUGCCUGGACACUCACAUGCAUCUCACGUUACCCUAAAAGGGUAUUCAGGUCUAAUUACGAUUUUUUAUUUAAUAACUUAAGGGACCAACAUUGCAUCUAACACAAACCCUAAGAUAUGAAAACGAAGAAGGUAGCGGUGAAGAAAACCACCCCAACAAAGAAAGCAGCUGUGAAGAAGAUGACCCCGACGAAGAUAACAGCGACGAACAAGAACAAUGGUGCGAAGAAGAGGACCCCGACGAAGAUUGUAGUAGCGAACAAGAACAAUGGUGCCAAGAAGGGGACCCCGACAAAGAAACCAGCGGCGAACAAGAAUAAUGGUGCCAAGAAGGGUACCCCGAUGAAGAAACCAGCGGCGAACAAGAACAAUGGUGCGAAGAAGACAACUUCGAGGAAAGUGAUUGAUAAGAACGUGGACUGUGACAAGGAAGAAGCAAGUGGUGUGGUCCAAGAGAUUCCUGAACUUUUUCGAGAUGUUGUUCCUUUGCCCUCUACCCAUGUGCGAAGGUCAGAUUUUUUAUUCUUCCCUUUAUCUUUAUGUCAUGUUGAAUGUGUAGUUUAAUUAUAUCAAUGUUGUAUCUGAAUCUUGUAUCUGAAUCUUAUAUUUUUUGAAAUGUUGUAUCUGAAUCUUGUCCUUUGUUUUGUCCAUCUCCUUAGUGUAUAAUAGUAUAAAAAUAUUGUUGCAUCAUGGUGAGAACUUGACCUUUGAACCCAGAAUUGAAUAUGUUGGUGGUUCUGUAGAAGCGUUGGUUGAGUGGGUAAGGAGGUAUUUAGAUUAGGGUAUAAGGCUUUUAAAGCUUUAUAGUAUAGGAACCCUGGGGGACGAGGUCCAAGUGGGUUUAGGUGUAUAAUCAGUGAUAAGGAUGUGCACCAGUUCUGCUCUGAUGUUAAGGGGUAUAAGAUAGUUCUUGUAUUUGUUGAGCAUACACAUGAGAUAUCAUUAGAUGAUGUUGACUCAGAUGAUGAUGUUGCAAUAGUUGAUAGGCUGGAUGUGAUUUGUGGGAAGUUGCUUCAGGGUAAGGACCUCCCUUCCUCCUUUGUGAACAAGAAUACGAGCCAGAACUUUGAGACCCACCUCCCAUUUCCUUCCACCAUUCGCUUCGAGGAGCUCGCAUAGACUUCUUCUUCAUUCUUCAGAUCGUUAUUCAGAGGGAGAGGCAAAGAAUCAAAAACCCCUCAUUUAAGAGCUCCAUGGUGAAGAAGACGAGGGAUGAGAUGACUGUUGGAGCCUUUUAGGGUUACGUGAGAUGCAUGUGAGUGUCCAGUCAUCAAUAUAUCUCAAGAAAGUCACGUGAGACACGCGUGAUGGAGCCACAUCAGCUUCUCACGUUAGUUUUCAGAUAGAAGUGUAACGGAAGACAAGUUUUGCAACGGCGUGUAAACGUUGAGGGUGGUUUUUGCUAAUUUCGUAGUUGGGGGAUGAUUUUCACAGGAAGGGCAAAAUUGGAGGACCAAGUGAAAUUAAACCUUUUUUCUAUUAGCACAGACAUGGUUUUGAAGGAUCAAGUUGGUUAAAAGAAAACAAAUAAUACGGUCGUGUAGUGAGAUGCACGGUCGUGGACACCUGCGAACAGAAAACGUUACAGAACAAGCAAACAGAGGGAAAAAAAAAGGAUUAAUGGCAAAAAUGAGAAACCUUUAAAACUAAAUAUCUAGACUUAGUCCCCAGCAAUGACAUAAAAAACAUGUUUCCCUAAAAAUACACACACGCAACAGCAAAUGGAUUGUAUCACUCAAGUAAUAUAGGAUGGUGAUGUCCCAAUUAUCGAACCCAAGGGGCUAAGCAAAUACAUGGUUCUACAUAGUGGAUCAAUGUAUAGGCAAUCAGAAGUUAGAUCAUUGCUCAAGAUCACACCAGGAAACAAAGAAAGCGUAAAAAAUAUCAUAUUGGAAAGGCCUCUAGACUAUAAUGAUAUUGGAUAAUCCACCCCUGUUAUAAUAUGUGUUGUCCUAAUUAUCUAUUGUGUCAACCAUACCCUCUUAAAACAUUAGAUCAUCGUUAAGUUAUUGCUAACUGUCCACUGCACUAACUUACAAGUAAACGUCAUUGUAAGGUGAUCAAUGAAAAUAGGCAUAAAACACAGAAUUAUCCUACGGGUAUUUCACUACCUAGAAAUAGAAGUUAGAAAUAUAUUGAAUUGACUCUAAAGCCUCUACUUAGGAGUGAGUUAUUAUUCAUACUCUUCUUAUGCCAUAAAUUUGUUAGGAGCCAAUUAAUUACUAGUGUUAUGGUCAGCUACUCCAUAUAAAAUUGAACGCGUACAAGAGAAUCACAAUCGUAUAAAAUGAAUUAGAAAUAUUAGAUAUAUUAAAUUACUGAGACUUUACUAAAAUAUGAGAAUAUCCCUAUUCCCUAACACCUUUCUCAAUCUCUUUCUUAAUAUCUCAUUAUAUUAUUAGUCUCGAUACAUUCAAACUAAACUUUCUCUUCAAUCUUGUAUAAAACCAGGCAUGCCAAAACCACUAGCACAACCACCGUCUCCAGAACCACUAGCACCCUCGUGAUCACUAUUAACACCACUGUCAUGAGGGUUAUCAAUAUCUUCUUCCACAAUAACUCCUUCAGUGACGACACUAAAACUGUGAUACUCAGAGCUAUGGGAAUACAGAGCCGUAACAGUGACCCCAUUAUCCGCAGCCAUGACCUUCCCGACAACAAACCCACUAAAGACUUUUUCCUGCAAGCUAGAGAUGGAGAUUGUGAAGGUGGGGUGAAUUACACAAGGAGGGAGAUUCGGGAUGAAUGAAGGAAAAUAAAAAGAAUGAAAGCCAGCGCCGAUAGAAGGUUGUGUCACAUAGGAGGCAGAGAAACCCAACUAAACAAAGGGUCCAGGGGCGAUUAAAGAAGCAGGUGUUUCGCCCAUAGGUUGCCUGCGAGUCACGUUGGAAAUAGUGCUCGCAUCAUGGACCACCAUGAUGCUGGAGUUGCAACGGCGAGCCAGUUGGGCCACUGCCUCCCUGACGUCGUUUUCAACACCGACCUAGAUGAUUGCAGCUCUCAUGUUGUAGUUGACAUGGGUGAUGACCAUUGCGGGCUUCGGCUUGCUCUUGGAGCCUGGUGGCCUGCCAAGGGGCCUCUUGGAGGAGGAGGAGGAGGAGGAGGACUUUGCUUGUUGGUUGGGACCAAGGACCAAGGGUGGCGGCAAGAGGUGGAAAUCGAAGGGUCCAGAACUUGGAGAGAGGUACAUUGGAAUGCCAUGGGGCCAUUGUUUGGUGAUGUUCUGAGAGCAUGAGGCAGUGAGUGUAGGAUGAAGCUUGAUGCUUUCUCAAUUGGAAUUUAUAGUAUGUUCAGGAAAUAUGAGAGUCUAUGUAUACUUAAGAUAAUUUGGGUUGUGGAACAUCCUAUGAAUAUUUUAUUAUUAUUAUUCCAAUGUUAGGGUUGGUCAAAAUUCUUUAUGAAUUUCGUGAUCAAUAUUCAAUAACCAAUAUGUCAAUCAUUUUAUUACUACUCAAAUGAUAGUUGUCAGUCAAAUUAUUUAAUUAUUAGUCAAAUUCUUUUGCGAUGCAAGUGGCGUUGAAAUUAUAAAUAAAUUGGAAUUCAAAAGGAUGUAAAAGGUAUUAAACUGAGGGCGUUACUUUUACUCCAAUUCAAUUCAUAUAUAGGUCAAUUCAAAAUUGAUUAAUUGUGCUUUAUCUAUUAUUUCACUCAUUUAUUCCUUUCUUUAUUAUUUUGGUUUUGAUUGUUUUGUUCUUUUUUUUUUUUUGAAAAGAUUGUUUUGUUCUUUUUUUAUGCAAAAAUAUCAUGCUCCUAAUUAAUCUAUUUGUCAAACUACCUUUAAGAAUUUAAUCUAUGUCACGAAGAAUAUUUCUCUACAUUUCAAAUAAACCCAUAUUUUAACUUUAUCAAAGCCCUAAUUAGUGUGGGUUAAAGCCGAAGGUAAACACGAUUUACCAUCGCCUUGGCAUCUGUAAGACUUGGAUAAUUAUUAAUAUUUUUAAAAUUAACAUUGAUUGUUUUCAUUAUCAUAAUUUUUUUUGAUGCUUAACAAGAAACAAACGAAAACAAAACAGAAAAAAACAAAGCGAAACACCCCCUACAACCUAACAAAGGUUGAGCCUAGAGAGUCAGCUAAAAGCAAAGGUUCCAAGUCAGGAGGGGGGUCCUGAACAAGGAGGAAAUCUAACCAGUCCCGUGGUUCAGAGCAGCUGAAGGAAGCAUGCCUCGGGCUAAGACCCAAGCGAAGCCAGAUGCGGCGAGCGAAAAAACAGUCCCGCAGACAAUGAAGGACAGUUUCUGGGUAUAAAUUACACCUUGGGCACAGCGGUGACGGGAACAUAUUCCGGCGAAAGCGAAGAUCAUUUACAGGAAGAGAAUUAUGGCAACAGAGCCAAAGUAAAAAGAGCACCUUGAAGGGCCCGUGCAGGCGCCAAACCCAGCUCCAAUCCUCAGCAGUAGAAGGAUUAUUCCCGCCAGGAUCCGACGCACGGCGCGCAGCCAGCAGCCAAUGAUACCCCUCCUUAGCUGAAUACAUACCAGAGAUUGAGGAAGACCAAACAAAACAAUCACGAACCUGACUACUGGUUGUACAGUCACGCUGCAUAAUCAACUGCUGGACAUCAGCUGGCAGCUGCGUAUAAAGAGAAGAGAAAUCCCAGCGGUAGUCCAUGAUUACAUCCCGCACAGUAGCUUCGAGGUCAUGAAUAUCCACAGCAGCAACCCGGUCACAAAGCUUGAAAUUGCCAAGCCAUUAUGUAAACCAGAGGGAUGAUGCUCCAUUCCCAAUCUUGAACGAGAAACCACUUUUAAUAACAUCUCUCGCUUUCUGAAUUGAUCGCCAAACCACAGACCCUCUCGUGCUUUGCAUAGACAACAAAUUCCCACGCGCACCAUACUUCCCUCUAAUCAAAAAAACCCAAGGUUUCGGCUCUUCCUGAAUUAACUGCCAAACAUUUUUCCCAAGAAGUGCAACGUUAUGUUCAUUAUCAUAAUGAUAAUGUGUGUGAAAUUCUGUGAAUUUUGAAUAUAAUAUUGAUAUGUUUAAUUUACAGUGUCUUUUUGUAGAAAAGUUUCUUAUACAAUAUCGAUCACGUAGCAAGAUUUUGGUGGACCACAUCUCGGAAGGGAUGUUAAGCGCGCGAGAUAUGCCUUGGGGGAGAAGAAAUAAUUGUUUGAAUUAUUUAGUGAUUUAUUUAAUGAUAAAUAGGAUUUUCUCUUAUUUUAAAUUAAGAGUCAAGAUGUUGAUUUAAUUUAUUUUAUUUUAUUUAACGCUAAAAAGCACUUUUGACCCCUGAUGCUUCAAGUUUGUGCAAAUUCUACCCUCAUUCUAUUUUUGUCGAAGUUUCUACCCUUCAUGUUUUCAAAAAGUGUAGCGUCUACUGUUUCAUCCAUUUCUGUUAAAAUUUGGGCGGUUUUUGCUGACAUGGCCACGUACCAUGACACGUCAGUAAAGAAAAUUGGAUCAUGGGAAAAAAUGGGGAUAAGAUUCGAACCCAUGAUCUUGGGAUGAUAAAACAAUCCUCUAACCAGUUGAGCUAUCAAUUCAAUUGUUUACAUAGUGAACAUACUAAUAUUUAGCCAAAAUCCAAAAAAUCCAAAACCCAGAAAUUUAAUAUCCAAAAUUCUUCAUCUUCUUUAAAAUCCAAAAAUCUUUGAUCUUGGUCUUCUUCUUCCUUCUGAAUUUUUGAAUUGGGGGUUAAAUUAGUGCAAAAUAAGAGCCUUAAAUGUCAUGAUGAACAAACAUAACAAUGAUACCCAGAAUUCAUCAAUUUUUGGGUUUUUCUUUGAUAUUGGAUGAUUUCAAAACAUAAUUCUGCAUUUUCUUUUCAAACGUGUCUUCUUUUCCAAAUUCUUGCUUUAAUAACUUUGAAUAUCCAGGUUUUUAAAGUAGUUUCCCUUUCAAUCUCUUUAACAGGUCUGUAAGUUCACUAGGGGGUUAAAGUUUUGGUCUUUGAUAUGCUGAACAUUUAAUGCUUAUUACUUCAUGCUUUGCAACCUAUAAUCAAGCUUUAAUACCUUUGAAUAUCCAGGUUUUUAAAGUAGUUUCCCUUUCAAUAUCUUUAACAGGUCUGUAAGUUCUCCAGGGGGUUCAAGUUUUGGUCUUUGAUAUGCUGAACAUUUAAUGCUUAUUACUGCAUGCUUUGCAACCUAUAAUCAAGCUUUUCAAUAUUACUAGAUGAUUCCAAAACAUAAUUCUGCGUCUUCUUCUCAAACAUGUCUUCUUUUCCAAAUUUUUGCUUUUAUAACUUUGAAUAUCCAGGUUUUUAAAGUAGUUUCCCUUUCAAUCUCUUUAAAAGGUAAAGAUAAAAAAUACAUUAUGUCACUUUUAUUGAUUUAUGAUAGUGCGCUUGCCCAUUAACAUAGGAAGGAAAGUCAAUUCUAUAUUUGUUGAGAGAUUAACAAUUCAGUUUUGUUAUGAAUGUGGAUAUACCAGGUCUCAUUUACCUGGAAAAUGCAAGGAAACUAUCAUUCCGGAAGCAUGAGCUGGCUGGCAGGGUUGAUGAUAAAAAUCCGUUAGAAUUAAAGAGUAGGAGGGAAAGGAGAAGGGCAAGGAAAAUUUGAGUAAGGGGAAGCUGUCCCCUCAGCUAGCUAGAUUAUGAGUUCCAUUUUUCUAUUUCCUGUAAUAUGAGCAUUGUAUGUUUGCAUAAGGUUGAAUGAGCAGAUUAUUGGCUCAUAAAUGAAAUCCUAAUAGCAGUGUCCUCUACUUCUAUAGUAUUUUUUCCAGCAUUUUAAUAUAUCUAUAAUUGAUUCAUAUUGACAUAUUCUUUACAUAUGAACCUGGGGUACAAAUGGUCUUUGAAAGAUUUGCCAAAAAAAGCUUCUCUGAUUGCUGCUAUAGAUUACAGUCUCCAAUUCCAUUUAUUUGUAGUUUUUUAAUAGUCAAUUAUGGUUUUGUUUAUAUAUGUGAAUUCUUUAGGGUACUUUGCUGAUUGCAUACAACCAGUAAUUAUAUGUUGCUAUAGUUGACAUGUUGCUCAACUCUACAAUUAUCAAAUGAAAACAUGUUAUUGCAAAUUAUUUAAGUGGAAGAGUACAAAACUUUGAGUGACAACACGACUUCGCGUUUCAAGUUGUUAUUAUUGUGAAGUGACGUGGUCUGCAACCCCUAUUUGAUGGACAAACAAUAUAAAAAUGUAUUUUAAUAAUUUGAUUGCUUUUUUAUAGGUUUUUGAAGUAUUAAGUUUCAUAUUUAACAAUAGGAAAAUAUACUUUGAUAAUUUCUUAAUUUUUUUUAAAUUUUCGAAGUAUAAAUUUAAAAGUAUGAUAAUCUAAUGGUGAUAGUAUGUAAUAUGGGGUUAAAAAUUAGUACUCUCACGGGGAGAAAUAUUUUUACAUGGAAAUACUUUCGAGUAAAAACUAAUAUAUAAUAUUUUUUCAUGUAAUUUAAGUGCAAUUUUCAUAAUUUUGAUACAUGUUUAAAAAUAUGAAGAGCAAUAUCUCGAUGCAAUGCAAAGGUAUAUGUUUGAUUAUUUAGAUUUUUUUUUUGAAAUUGAAUGUUUAGAUCACCACAACCGUAAUUGAGUAUUUAAAUAAAUGUUUUUGAAACUUCUAUCCCUCUUAAUAUGAUUGUAGUGUAAUUUUAAGUAUGCCAAUUUUUCUGUAAUCAAACUGUUGAUUGAUGUAAGGAUCAAUAACUAAUUCGCCGUGCAACGCACGGGUAAAAACGCUAGUAACAAUGAUACCCAUAAUUCAUCAAUUUUUGGGUUUUUCUUUUUCUCUUUUUUGUAUACUCUUCCUUCUCUUCACCCUCGUUCCCCAAACAACCACCAUAGCCAACACAACAGCCACCUUCAACCACCAUUCAAGCAGAGCGACCUUGUCAACACCGCCGACAACAUGCAGAGCGAUCCUCAUCAACACCGCCGACAAAGCGACCCCACGAUUGUCGGAGCACAUCCUCCUCCUCGUCAACACCACCGACAUCAAGCAGAGCGACCCUUGGCGAAUGUGUUUCCCUUUCUCCCUCUCUGAGCUUCGCGAUCCAGAUGAGGCAAAUGGGUUUUUAUAUUUUUUGGGUUUGGUUGUGUUGCAGGUGAAUGAAGAAAGAGAAUAAUAUAUCAUAUAAAUAUUAAUAUGUUCACAGCAUUGACAAUUGAAUUGGUUGCUCAACUAGUUAAAUUUAAAUGCUUGUUUUGUCACCCUAAGGUCAUGGGUUUGAAUCCUUUCCCCAUUUUUGCCAAGAUCCAAUUUUUUUUACUGACGUGGCCAUGUCAACAAAAACCGUCCAAAUUUUAACAGAAAUGGACGGAACGGUAGACGCUGCACUUUUUGAAAACAUGAGAGAUAGAAACUUCGACAAAAAUAGAGUGAGUGAGGGUAGAAUUUGCACAAACUUCAAACACCAGGGUCAAAAGUGUUUUUUAACCUUUAUUUAAUUAGAUAUUCUAGAGCGAUUUGAAUUUAAUUUAUUUUACAGAUGUCAGUCUUUUGCUUAGACUUUAGACUAGAUAAAUUAUCUUCUAAAUUAAGGAUUAUGAAAAUAACAUUUAGAGAUCAAGCAGAAGAUUUUCUACUCGAUAAUGGGCUUGGUCGAAUAGCGCUCUAGGGAUAGAAAAAUCAUUUUUUUUUCUUUUUCAACCUAUCUCUAUGCAAAACACUCGAUGUAUCACUCUCUCUUUGAGGAAGAAAAUUAUUUUUAUUUUUCUUGCUUCUAAGCACAAGGUAGGCUAGGGUUUUUCUUUUCCCUUGUUAAGUUUCUUCUAUAUCAUCCCCAUGUAUUUCUCCUUUUUUUUCUUUCUUUGUGGAAAAUUUGCUAAAAUAGGGUUGCUUCUGUUGCAAAGUUUCUUUGCACAUUUUUGGAGUUUUAUGAGUUCGUAUGUUUUCUUUGAAAAUGUUUUCAAUUAAAAAGGGGUUUGUAUCAAGUUUUGGAAAGUUAGGGGUUUAUGACGAUGUUUUGAAAAAAUAAGGAUUUAACCAUUUUUCUAUAUAGAGGCCGUAGCUUAUGCUUGUUUUUUGGGAGUGGGUUUUGUUUUGAAAACUCGUCCUAGGGUUAGAGAAUUCUAGUUUUUCAGUAGGGGUUGAAACUAGAAAAAUUUGAGAGUUUAAGGACCAUUUUUAUAAAUUAGUGAAAGUUUCGAGACUAAUUUCUAAUUCUGAAGUUCUAUAAAGGAGAUUUUUGCAAAUACUAACUAAAAUAUAAAUAAUCAAAGUUAAGAGUUUUAUAUGCAAGAUUAUUGGUUCGAGCUUAGUUACUUAUGUUGUGAAGGUUCAAUUAGCAAGGUUCGUGAGGAUCUAGGACAUGCUUUUGGGAAGGAAAACGGCCAAGGUGAGGAAACUUCGGUCUUAGAGACUGUUUUGCAUGUGACCUACCGUGCUACUUGUCUUGUUUGAGAUCAUGUUUUGCUACUUGUCCUGUCUUUUGCAUGAUGAAAACAUGAUAUGCUUAUGGUUAUGUUGAAUUGAUGAUUGUGGUCUAUGACAUGGUUACGUUGAGUUGAUUAAAUGAUGUUGUUACUUACACUAAAACAUGUGAAGUUCUGCUAUGAUACUUUAUUGGCUAUGCAAUGAUUCCUUAAUGAUGUUAUGCCUUUAUGAUGCUAUGUUGAUAUUUUUAUGUUGUGAUGCAUGCCUAACUUGAGAUGUACAUGUAAAUAUGAGAUGUGUUAUCAUUUUCGAUAAUUGUUGGUUUGCAUGGCAUUGUGCGUAAAGGAAAAUAGGGUUUGAAAUCGGGUAGGUUCAAGCCAAACUGUGUGACCACCGAUUCUUAAGAACCGGGUAGGUUCGACAAAUAUGUAGGUUCUUCACGACAAGAGAAGUUUCUAAAGAAAUGGCAUAUCAACAAUAGGUUACUAGUGAAGAGGCAAGUGACUUGGGUGUCGAUCCGAGUGAUUGUCCUACAUCCCAUGCGUGGUUGUUGGUGUAUAUCCGAAUUUUUGUAGAGAGUUUAUAUAUAGACUAACUAAUUUAGGGUCUAACAAUGACUUGACCUUUGAUGAUUGAGAACAAGCAUGAUUUGUGUGCCCUCCUCCUCCAACUUUGUCCUUGAUACUGAUAAUGAUGACAAAGUGUUGGAUAAAGCAAGUCUUUCACUUCUUCUUUGCCCACUGAAUCUUUGGGCAUUGAUGUUCUUUAAAGCUUGAAGGGACGAUAAAACUUAUGUACACCCCGGUAGAUGAUACAACUUGUGUUGAUAGUGUCUUCAGGAUUGUAAUGGUCAAUAUAUCUUCGGUUAUUAUACCCUUGUCUUUGUUAUCAUUAAAACACAAAAAAAGAGAUUGUGAGGAUUAAGGGCCUGUUUGGUUGUAGUUUUUGUUUUCAAUUUUUAAAACAAUUUUUAAAACAGUUUUCAGAAGAAGAAAACAGGUUGAAUAACUUGUUUUCCAACAUUUAGAAAACUGAUACCUGGAAACUAAAAACAGAAACUGAAAACAUCUUUUAGCUGUUUUGGUUUUUUAGUUUUAAAAACUGAAAAUGAGAACUGUUUUCAACCAAACAGAAACUGUUUUAAAAACUGAAAAUGAGAACUGUUUUCAACCAAACAGGUUUUCAGUUUUUAAAAACUGAAAACUGUUUUGAAAACAGUAAACAAACAGACUCUAAACGUUUGAACUUAACAAAUAAUUUUCAAAAAAUAAAAUAAAAUAAUCUAACAUGCCCAUUAUCACAAUUUUACGAGAGAGAUCUUAACUUUAUUCAAUGUAUCAAUAUGCUUGAUAUAAAGACAUCGUAUGGGAAACUUUAUCACCAGGAUGAGUGUUGUGAGAGAGAAGAGAAUAAGAGGAGGUGGGAGAGCACAAACCUAACAACUCAUAUUUUGAUAAACCCUAUUUUAAAAUAAUAAAUAAAUAAAGUCGGUAAUUUUUUUUUCCAAAAAUUCAAACACGUAUGUGCUUCUUGGUUCUCCUUUCCUCGAGCUAUUUUCCUUUUUCAAAAAAAAAAUUGUCAAGUAACCAAUUAUAUCAAAAGUUUAAGUUGUUGGGUAAGGAUCACCUUAAUGGUUUUAUAUUAUAUUCUAACACACCCCGUCACGCAAGAGCCAUUUGAGCUUGAAACAAGGAUAAAUGCACACAUCCACCUACCAUGUGCCUAAAUUUCACUUUUUAAUUAGAAAGUAAGGGGUGCAUGAAUCGAACUCUAGACCGCUAAAUCAUAAAAACUCUGAUACCAUGUCAAGUAAUCAAUUAUCCCAAAAGCUUAAGUUUUUCGGUUAGGGCCACUUCAAUUGUUUUAUGCUGUAUAGUAUAAGGCUGAUAGUAUUAGGCCUGAUAAAAUUUUAAUAAUAUAGAGCGUUUGGUGGCACAUUUAUAACUUAUCAUUUUGUUUAAAUUAAUAUAAACUUUUGUUUUGUGAAAUCUUGAAUAAUGAUAUAUUAUAUUAUAAAAAUGAAGAUAGUGUUAGUGGGUUGUAAAGAUAGCGGUGGUGGCUAAGGUGGUUGCGAUAAUGGCAGCGGCGGUGGUUGUGGUGGUGGCGGUAAAGGUGGCAGCGGUGAAUGGUGAUGCUGAGUGGUGGUUUGGGUGGCGACGGUAGUGUUGGAAGUGAUGGUGGUAGCAGUGGUGGAGGGAAGUGGUGGUGGCAAUGGUGGAGGGAUGUGAUAGCGGUAGUGGUUUAGGUGCUAGCAGCGGCGGUGGUGUUGUUGGAAGUGAUGGUGGUAGGGGUGGUAGUGGUGGUGGCGACAGCGGAGGGAGGUGGUUGUGGCUGUAGUGGUGUUGGGUCAUGGCGGUAUGUAGUGGUAGCAAUGAUUGCAAUGGCGGUUGAGGUGGUGGAGGCGGUGGUGGAAAGUGAUGGUUAUGAUGAUGAUAAUGGUGGUGGCAAUGGUGGGUGGUGGUGUUAGCGGUGGCAGUGGCGAUAACGAUGACGACAACGACAACGACGGUGGUGGCAGCGAAGGUGGUGGAGAGUGGUGGUAGCAAUGGUGGAGGGUGGUGUGGUGACGAUGGUGGAGGAUUGAGGUUGUGGCUUAUACAUCACACUCUUAGCAUGUCUUAUUCAUCAUCUAUAUGGUGGAUUAAAUAAUCCAUCAUUUUAAUGUAUACGAGGGGAUUGAUGUAUAAGCUUAUACAAUACAAUGUUAGCACCAAACAAUAGAUAAGUCUAUAAUGUAUUAGUAAAGCUUAUAUUAUCAUGUCUAAUACGGUGUGCCUUUCUUCCAUAUCAACAUAAAAAUAAAAAUAAAAAUAACCAUAAGGAACAUUCGCUUGGUCCAAUUGACCUUGCCUUCGAGCUGAUUUGGCGUUCCCAUGCUCCUUCUAGUGUCAAGGGUCUUGCAUGGCGAUGUUUGCUUGACCGUGUUCCUACUUGUGAAAAUCUGAUGAAGCGGGGGGUGACCUUGGACCAAGGAGCAUCGGUUUGCAAAUUAUGCGGGGUGAGCAUAGAAACAACUUUUCAUCUUUUUUUCUCCUGUUCUGUGGCAAUGGACUUGUGGCAUGCUUGUUAUAAAUGGUUUGGGGUUGAAACAGCUUUGCCAAUGAUUGCUAGAGAUCACCUGCUACAGUUCAGCUUUGGUGGUUCAGAGAAACAGCGUUGUGGUUUCUUGACAGUUUGGCUGGCAUGCGUUUGGUCUAUAUGGGUGGUCCGUAAUGGCAUUGUUUUCAGGGGUGUCGGGUUUUGCUUGCAAUCUGUGCUGGAAUUGGUGAACUUGAGAGCAUGGCAAUGGAACUCAGCGAAAAGCUUGUCAUGCGUGCAGCCAGAGGAGUGGGGCAGUUCUGUUUAAUUGUUUCUUAGCUGGCUACUGUUGUUGGUCUGUAGUUUGUAGCUUGUAAUCUUUUUGCAAUUUUUCCUUUUUUCUUGUAUUGGGUUUGGAGUAUCCCUUGUACUUCCCUUUCAAUACAAAAUUUGGCUUACCUAAAAAAAACCAAGCCCACUAUGGAAGAAUAUACUCCUCUAGUGCAUGGAAUACGAUACAGUUAUUAUUUAUAAACUAGUGUUUUUUUACCCGCGCGUUGCACGGGGAAUUUGUCUGUCGUAUUUGAUACGUAAAUCAAUACCUUGUUUUUUUAAAAUAUAAUAUACAGCAAAUGAAAUAAAAGAGACGUCGACAAAAAGUCUUAAAUUGAAACCCUUGUUGCAUAGAUUGAAAUUCGUCAAUUGCUUAACCAAAUAUCUAAUUAUGCAAAAUAUAUCAAGAGCUGGUUUACUGAUGCUAAUAAACAAUAGCUGAUUUAAUCUACCGUGAAAAAAAGAGAAAAGAUUGUUCAUGAGCGUGAUUAUGCGUGUUCAUUUUCACACAUUAAAAUAAACUAAUCUUGAUUCAAAUCAACAGGAACUCGUUUCACAUUCUUCAUGAACAUGAAGACAAUAGCACAAAUCAUGGAUAUAAGGAAUCACCAAUAAAUCAUUCAAAACACGUAUUAAUCUUUAAAAAAAUGUGAUAGUAGCACAAAUCAUGAUUGCUAAAGAUAAAUCAUAAAGUAUGACAUUAUUGUGUUUAUACCAAGUCAUCUAAUCCAAGUUUGAGCCAAUAUUGCAAGGUCCCUUCAGUUUGUACUAUUCUUUUAUGUCAUGUUUUCACAUUAAUAUUUACUCCUUAAUUAUUAUAAAACUAAGAAAAUUACUAAAAUUAAGUUCACAGUACUAUUGCAGGGUCCCUUGAGUUUGUACUAUUCUUUUACUAUUAAGAUCACACUAAAAUAUUUUUCAUUAAAAUUUUCAUCCCGCGCGGAGAGUUUUCUUACCUAUAAUUUUAUCAUAAGUAAAUAUAAACUAUAUAUUAUAAUCCUUGUACAAAAUAUUCCCAUAAUCAAAUUCUAAUCCUUUCAAUAAUAUAUUUGUUGUCGAAAAAGUAAAUGAUCCUGAAAUGUUUACAAAAGAAAAAUGAUAUUUAAUUGUACGCAUUAGUUAAAUAUUUUUUGCAUUUCCUUUAAGUGCGUAGACAACAAUAUAAAAGUAAAUAUAUUAAUAAAUUCCACUAAAAUUAAUUUAAGAACACCAAUAAAAAACACUUCAAUAUUCAAAAUCAUUAAAAUAGAAACAGAAAUACAGUUUGAUAUCAGAGCCUAAAAAAGCUUGAAAUCUUAUACGACCAAUCCUAAAACCACUUGAAACACAUUAAAUAUUCUCCUUGUUAUACAUUAUACUACCAAUCAUGUAAGUACCUAUAACUUGAAACGCAUCAAAUAUUCUCCUUGUUAUACAUGCCUCAUUUUCUUUCCCAUAUUUGUCAUAUAGCUUACUGUACCUGGCAAAAGAGAGAGCAUGAUAGCUUUAACAAAUCCCAGACAUGAAACAGAUCUGGUUCAACAGAUCUGGUGACAACCCAAUCAACAUCAUGUUUUCACACUUGAGUAAUAUAUUGCCGAUGUAAGCUCACAGCUCCAAUUACAAUCUACAAUAAAAGUCAUAUGGGUCACAGUUCAAUGUAAAGCAACUUAAAACUAAAACCUAGCAAAAAGAUCAAUUGCUUUAUAGUUGACAGUAUGGUGUGGGGGAAUUGCCGACUAUACUUGGAUUGAGUUUUUUGGUGUUGAUGGGAAAGGAAGGCGUGGGAAUCCCAUGCGAGAUUAGCUUCAAGGUUAUCCCUAAGGAGGAUAUGUGCAUUAAAAUCAUAGAGCAGAGCAGUAUAUAAUGUCAGUUCGACAACAUGAGAGAACUACUUCUUGAAUGUAUGAUUAACUUCUCAGUUCCCUCUGGUAUCCAUGACAAAAUCCAGAUUUCAAGAUGCAAUGUAGAGGUGCGUGGAGAAUGAAAAGAGAGAAACAUUAGAAUGUGUAAUUGUAGCAAGUGCAUUUGAUGCAUUAGGAUGAUCUCAUCCAACCAAACCAAAAACAUUUCUUCUAGUAUGCAAAGCAAAGGUAGUUGGCCUAAAAAUAAAUCAAAAUCAAUAGAGGUGAUUAUUUCUUCUAAUAUUUCUUCAGAUUUCAAUAUGCUUUCCUCAAACUUAAUGUGAAUAAAUAAAUCGAUAAGGCUCCCUCUCCUUCCUCCUAUCUUUUCUUUGGUUUUUAUUGUAGAACAAAACUCAACCAAGCCACUCAAGAAAAACAAAAAAAAUUAGGUGCAAAAUAUAUCAUAAAGUAUGAAAAGGGCAGAAAACCUUACAUGCUAUUUUCACACUUGAAAAAUGACCCUCUCCAAUCUGUUUACCAACAAAAAAGUGGAAAGAAUGUCUCACCAUCUCAAACAGUUUGCCACCUCUCCUCUGAAUCCAGUUAUCCUAUCCUCAACAUCUGUAGUGUAUUUACAUAAUGACGCUAAAAGCAACUUCCAUCAACUCCAAAAUAUUGAUGGAGAAGGUUUGACCAAACAUUGUCUAAUGUAAUUCUUUGCUCUAUUAUUUACAGAUAUGCAUCAAAUGCAGAAAAGGAUUUACAUGUUAUGCAAUAUUCUAAUUUAUCUAGCAAACACUACCUCAAUUAUAGAUCAGUUAUGUGCAUGCUUAAACAGGUAGCAAGCAUCAUGAAUCAAAAGUUAUCAUCUCACAAUAAACCCAAAAAACAUGAACAAUCUAACUACAAAGUUUGAUGAAGGCUUAUCUCUCUGAGCAGACAAUGUCAGGCUUUGUUAACAAUGUCAAAGCAGAGGUAGAUAUGUUGCUCUACUACUCAAAAAAAUUUAGAGAAGAGCCAGUGCUAUCAUGUCCUUACCUGAUCCAUAAUAACAAAGAGCUAGAGCAUGCUACCUUUCUCUUUUACUGAUACUCCCAGGGAGCAACGAUCCAUUGAAGAAGGAGCACUCACCAUUGAGAUAAAGUAGCUUCACGUGGAGCAGUAUUUUACUUUUUGUAUCUAAUCUAAAAUCUAAAGCAAACAGAUUACUAUAGAUUUGCUGGAAACUAAAUAAAAAGUAGAUUACUAAUUGAUAAAAUCUAAUAUAUUACAACAACAACAACAACAACAACUUAUAGAUUUUAGAUUAGAUUUGCUUAAGAUGUUAGAUAUUAGAAUAGAUUUAAUAUUCUAAACUUUUAAAUAUGAAUAUAUUAAACCAACAUAAAAGACCAAAACCAGUUACAAUGUUUGAGAAGAGAAAAAGAAACCUCUUCUAUUGCAGCUCGUGCAGCUUCUCCUUCCUUUUCUCUUCGUUGCCUCAAUUCUUCCUCAGCCCUCAUUUUUAAAUUAAUAACAAAUUAACUCACUAAUUAAAAACACUUAACUCACUAAUUAAAAACCUCAAAGAAACUAAACACACUUUCUUCAUUAGAUCUGGAAAAAUCUCUUCAUCUUCAUAUGCCCAUUCAUCCUUAAUCCUCCCCCUUCAUCCCUUUUCUCUGAUAACUCUAAAUUAAAUAAUAAAACCCCACCUUCAAACCCCAAUUUCAAUCUGUUCAUCUUCAAACCCCAUUUCAUCACAUGUUUUGGGUCAAUUUUUUCAACCAAAGGGAAAAGCUUCAAGUAUCCACCGUCUUCACCAUCAACACAGUCCUCCUCCAUCUUUUUCAUUCUGAUCCCAAAUGCUUUGAAGGUCACACCUUUCCUCUUCAACCCUUCAAAUCCCAACUCAAAUGCAUCAAAACCCAUCAAACCCUUCUAAGCCAUCGUUUCCCCGGAGCUCGCCUCACCAAAUCCAUAAACAACCAAAGGCCAGAUCGUCCCCACCGUGACUCUAACAGAUCAAGAACCAGGACGAAGAAAUCGAGCAGAUCGAGAGCCUGGUUCUCUAUUUUCUCUUCUCUGUUCGAUUUUCUGGGUUUUUGGUGAAGCUCGAUGGUCAUGGUUGUGGAACAAGGUGGCUUUAGUGAGAAAAGGGUGACUUUCUGACGGAGGAGGCGUUAUGUUGGUGAAGUCGCGUACUGGAGGGCUGGUGGUUUUGAUGUGCGUUUGUAAAAACGCAUAAACACAGAUCUGUAGCAAAACUUGCGUUCCAGCGAAAGCGAUAAAUUUGAGCGGUGGGUGUUGGGCGUUGGCGUUUGCACACAUCUGUUCGCAUACCUCUGUGUAGCUUUUCGUAUGAUUUGGGGUGACAAAUUCAUUAUUGUUCUGUUGAGAAUUGUAGGAGAGGGGCCUCUCUUCACGUGGGUUUAUUUUUCAUCUUGAUUCAGUCUGUUUCAAUUCAGUUCGCUUGAUUCAAUUCAGUUCUAGCACAUUUUCCAUGUAUCAUGCUUGAUUCAAUUAUGUUUCAAUUGGAUUUGGUUGAAGAAAAGGGAAAAAUUGGUUUUUGUUUCUUUUUGUUUUUGGAUUUCUUGAUGCUUCUUUAUUUGUUUCCAGAUUUUGUGUUGUUGAUUAAUUGGAGAUUAAUAUGAAGGAGGAUUAGAUAUUAAUGAUUUAAUAAAAUUAAGAUAAAUAAGUUAAUAUUUUUUUAUUUUUAGACUUUAAACAAUUUUUUUUUAAAAAAAUUAAUUAGUUUUUUUUAAUUUAAAUGAAAAAACAAAUUACACAUCAGCUUAUUAAUCCCAUGUGGCAAUCCACCGGAGCUCCGGCGUUGACCCUGAGCUCCGGAGGGAUGAAAACCAAACGUUUUGGCAAAGGUUAGGGACUAAAGCCCACCUUUGCUCCGGCGAGGGACAAAAACCAGAUAUUAUGUAAAGGUUAGGGACGAAAAACUUAUUUAAGCCUUCAUUUUAUAGCUAACCGUUUGAAAAAGCUCAUGGUUGGAGUUCUAUCUCAGGUGAGAGCCAACUCUUUUUUAAUAAGGUUAACAGCUAGGAUCUUAGAUAGAGAAAUGGAAUCUUAUGGAAUCACGCACAAGAAGAUAAUCCAUUUAGAAAGUAGGAAAACAUAGAAUUAGUUCAACAUACGUAAUCAAAAUGACAAUCAAUAAAAAAUCCAUAUUUGUAAUGAAGUUCUGAAAAGUAAAUCUUAAACAUGGAUACAGUUAAGAGAAAAAAAAAAUCUUGUAUUCUCCAAGCUGGAGAACACUAAUCAUCCUAUUUCUUAACUAUAAUUACCAUAAAAAUAUUUGUGAAUACAAAUUGUUAGUAGCUUGCAGUGAACAACCAGUUAAAGAUGAAACAAUGAAAAUUCACAUUGGUAUUGAGAGCCUAUUCUUUUACAGAAUUGGAAAGUAGAAACCUGUGUGUAGGUAAUCACAAGUUCACACUCACAUAGACGGACUCAAGGUUCGAAGUAGAGUAAUGGAUUGGUGAUGAUCUUGGUGAAGAUAAGAAAGGUUUGGGUGGUAUUUGCAAUGAUUCAAUGCUCCCUUCCAACAUAUCCACCACUUGGCUCAUUGCUGGAUGAGCAGAAGGGUCUGUUUGUAUGCACCACAAGCUUUACUAAAAUCAUCUUCCUUACCAUCUCAUUAUCAUUUUCAUUUUUAAUAAACCUCAAUGCAAGUUCUUGAUUUGUUUCUAGAGACUUGUAAAUCCAAUGUGGAAAAUAUAUUUCACUGGAACACUCAGCUUCCACAUUAAUGUUCUGUCUUCCUCCAACCAUAUCCAAAACCAUCAUUCCAAAACUAUAAACAUCUGAUUUAUGAGAUACACUGCCAAAACUUCUAGAAAUUACCUCAGGAGCAAUAUACCAUGCAGUUCCUCUUGCACCUAACAUGGAAACAAUACUCUCCUUUCUUGGGCAUAUUUUUGCAAGUCCAAAAUCUGAAAUCUUCGGACAGAAGUCUACAUCAAGCAAUAUAUUGUGAGGUUUGAUGUCAAAAUGUAAGAUUUGAGUGUUGCAACCUCUAUGCAAGUACUCUAAACCUCAAGCAGUACCAAUGGAAAUUUGAUGCAAAGUUUUGCAAUCCAAUUGACGAUCAACAAUUGCAGCAUUAUCUUCAUAUGUAAACUUCUCAAGAGAUCCAUUAGGCAUAAAUUCAUAAACUAGAGCUCUUUUUGAACCUUGAAAACAAAAUUCAAAGAGACCAACCACAUUAACAUGCGAAGUUUGGCUGAUACUGGCAACUUCAUUGAUGAAUUCUUCACCAUUUCUUUUCAACUUGUUUAAAAUCUUCACUGCAACAAGUCGUCCAUCAGGCAAUUUUCCUUUGUAUACACUUCCAUAACCUCCUUGGCCUAGUUUGCUUUUGAAGGAGCUGGUCAUUUCUCUUAUCUCAGAACAAGUGUACCUUUUGGUUAGAUGGAGUUCAUGCCUCUUCAAAAAUAUUUUAAUUUUCUUUUCUGUAAGAUUUUCAGCUUUCCAAAAGAAAAUGGAUGCAGGGGGUCUUGUAAAACAGCAUCUCAAUAUCAUAAGCAUCGCAAUCAUAGCAGCUGAAGAAGCUGGAUUAAAAUGAAUUAAAUUAAACAUGGUAACAAAUUACGUAUGAUAACUAAUCAAUACAGACAUGCACGCACCUUGAAAGAUACAACGAAACUUUCCUCUGUGAUCAAGUCUGCACCGUCCUCCACUUUCAUACAUGCACUUUCGACAAUCCUCAGACAAUGUUACUUCAAUGGUAACUUGAGAUUGUCUGAGUUUACCAAGAUUUGAUAACUUAGCUGGAAUCUGGUUAACAGUACAAGCAUUGGAAGGUGUGGUGAGGGAAUCACCAUAGAGUAGAUAAAAAUCUUCACACUUCGUGUAGUUAAGAAUUAAGAUGAUGUUCAUCAUCAACGAUAUCACUGCACACAUAAAGAUUCAUUGUUCCAUCAAUUUCCUUGUUUAAAGACAUGAUAGGAGAUGUCGGGGGAAGGGUAAUGGGGUACCAGCAUUCUGUGGGGCAAUCUCCAUGGCGUUCGUCGAGGUAAGAGAUGAGCUUUAGAAGUGCAGUGUGCUGGACAACAAUUGUUGAAGAUAGAAUGGAGGUCCCUAAGCUUAUACUUUCAAUUUGAAGCCAAGUUGCCUUCUUGUUUUCAUCAUAUCCCAAACGAACUUCAACUGUUGAACCUGGAUCAUCACAUCCGCUUAAGUACAAACCACAUUCUGUGUUCGUGUUGUUGGUGAAUGGGAAGGACAUCAACCCGAAGCGUUCACAGUCAAAGGAACUUGGGCACUCUUGUUUUGCAAACAUAAAAGGCAGACAGUAACAGAGAAUAACCAAACCAAGUACAAAUCCUGGAGCCAUUAUCUGAGUAAAAUAGUUGACAAUCAUGUUGGGUUGUUAGAUAUAUAAUGAGGAGGGGAGAAAAGAAGAAAAAGACUCAAAGGUGUGAAAUAAUAAAAUAUAAAAAAAUAGCAUGGGAAAAACAUUAACAUUCUUUAGCUAUUGCCAUCUCUGUUCUUUUCAACUUAUGCCUACUAAAGCAGAAAAGGAAAGGAUUGGUGACAUAACUUUUAGUUCACAUUUUGCAGUCACCCGACAGACACACUGAGUAAGUAAGAAAGAGAAGUAAAAUGUUAAUGUAUGAUAUAUGAUGGAUGUGAUAAAAAGAGAGUGAUAGAGAUUAAGGUUGGGUGUUUGGGAGGUGUUUGAUGUUUGAGUGUGCAAGUAUCAUUCUUCUUUUCAUUCCUAACUUCUUCUUUAUGAUAUAUUUAAAGCAUACUUUUUAGUCCUAUAAAACUAAAACCACAUGGUUUAGGAUAAGAAUCUGAUUAAACAUUUCUUGUAGGGACUAAAACAAAAAAUUAGAAAGAAAAAAGAGAGAACCUGAUGGUAUAUUUAGAAUUCCCUUUGGUGGGUCCCCAAUUGGCACAUUAGACCAAAAGUUCAAAUCCACACACAGGCAUGUUCCCACUCAGCCUCAGCGUCCUUGAAAGAAUAACAGGAUGAAAAGACCAAUAUGAGAAUAAAUUAUCUUGGAGGGAAUACUUUUUUCUCAUUCUAACCUCCUUUCAAUGAAUAAAUCCUACAGCUGUUUCAGUUGCUGGAGCACUAGGAGUUUUGAUAGUCUUGGCUUGCAUCAAACUAAGUUAUUUUUUUAGCCUGAUUGAGACUUUUCUGAAGUAAAUGGUCACCUUAAAGCCAACAUGAACAGCUAUUUAGAGGUUAAAAAAAAUGACCAGCUCCUUCAAAAACAAAUUACACCAAGGAAGAUAUGGUAUUGUACACAAAGGGAGGUAUAUAAUUACUCAUAAUUGAAGUCUGGAAGGCUUUACAAGAAUUCUCAUAUAUGAGUACCAGCCUAAUCCUUCAAGGCUUAAUCUAACAUUGAAUUGCACAACUAUAUAUGUACAAUAUUGCUAUUGGUGUUGCUGGAGGAUUAGAGUAUUUGCACAAGGGUUGCAGCACGAUAAUCGUGCAUUUUCACAUAAAACCUCACUAUAUAUGUACAAGAUCAUAUUUUGUGCUUUGCUGAAAUAUGUCCAUGAGAAAAAAAGUAGUCUAUCAAUGAUGGGUUCAAGGGGAACUGUAGUGUAUAUUACACGGUUGCACCUAAGGCGUUUUGCGAAAAAAUUGGUGGAGUGUCUCAUAAAUCAGUUUGUAUGCACCACAAACUCACAUUAGUGAAUUUUAUCAGCUGUCACCUCACAUGAUAAAGAUAAGUUGGAAAUCUUAACUAUCAGUGAACAAAGGAGAUGGCGGUGUCAAUUUUGCAGGUUAACAAUUGCAAAAUCUUGAAAAUAUUUGUUUCAUUUAGUACAAAAACUACAUAUCAUGAGAAAAAAAAAAUAUCCAAUUGGUAAUGAAGUUCUGUGUUCUGAUGUUAAUCUCAAACAAGUAUACAAUUAAGAGAAAAGAAAAAUCUUCCAUUCUCCAAGGCCUCCAGCACUGAUUUCCCUAAUUCUAAACUAUAAUGACCACAAAGCUUCGUGAAUAUAGCUUACACUGGAAUAUAAAAUAAGACAUUACCCCGCUAAAGUUGGAACAGUGAAAAUUCAAAUUGAGAUUCUGACAGAACCAGAAAAAUGUUAGAAAAUAACACAGCUGAAGAAGUAAAAUAAACCAGGAACGCAAUCAACAACACAAGAAUAUAACGUGGAAACUCCAAAACCGGAGAAAAAACCACAGCAGUUGUCAAAACCGACAACCAGAGAAUAAACACUAUGUGAAAAUUGUUACAACACAUAGACUUCACUCUCAACCACCCCAUGACCCCAGUACACCCACACUCUCCAAAGUAAAUAUUUGAACUACAUCUCACAAUGCUCUAAAACAAGAGCAUAAGAAAAAAAAGAAAACACAAAUAUAAACUUAAAGUGUUUUCAGGUGCUACAUCUUUGGUGUUUUGGUGUGUUGAAACAAGGAGCUUGAGAUCCCUAUAUAUAGUCUUGGACUCUCCCACCCCUCACUAAUCUAAGCGAUGUGGGACUUCUCCAAGAUGCAUAACUUGAUCUUUUUUCUCCUUCAUUAGCAAUGUGAGACUUACAUUGCAAUCAACCCCAACAAUCUCCACCUUGAUUGUAAUGACCUUCAGUCUUCAUUGUCUUCACCGACAAUCGUUGUCUUCACCGACAAACAUAAUUCUCAUUGUCUAUAUACCGACAAAUUGAAUUAUCAUACUCCACCAUAAAAGAGUAAACUACACUUGGAACUAAACCAUCCCAAGAAUUUUCUUCACUUGGAACUAAACCAUUCCAAGAAUUCCACAUGCCGAAACCUUGCUGAAAAUUUAUGGUGCAACUUCCAUGUUGGCUUACUCUGAAAGUUCAUCAGCCAUCGACAUAACCACGUACCUUGCAUCAACACCAACCAAUGCCCGCACGGUAUCACCACACACCUUGCAUCUAUAUCAACCAAUGCCCGUGUACCACCUGGACAAUUUCAUGCCCAAAACACCUUGUGCAACCAUGAUUGCAUAACUCCUCCAUCACAGCAUCAUCGCAGCUGCAGACCGACUGUAAACCGUGCACCAGGUUGGUUCCUAGCCAGAACCUUCCAAAACAGCACUUCACAAUGUCACACUUCUUCAGCACCUUCGCAAUACCAGACAAAGUGAUAUCCAUCGAACCGGAAGCUCUGAUACCACUGUUAGAAAAUAACACAGCUGAACAAGUAAAAUAAACCAGGAGCGCAAUCAACAACACAAGAAUAUAACGUGGAAACUCCAAAACCGGAGAAAAAACCACGGCAGUUGUCAAAACCGACAACCAGAGAAUAAACACUAUGUGAAAAUUGUUACAACACAUAGACUUCACUCUCAACCACCCCAUGACCCCAGUACACCCACACUCUCCAAAGUAAAUAUUUGAACUACAUCUCACAAUGCUCUAAAACAAGAGCAUAAGAGAAAAAAGAAAACACAAAUAUACUUAAAGUGUUUUCAGGUGCUACAUCUUUAGUGUUUUGGUGUGUUGAAACAAGGAGCUUGAGAUCCCUAUAUAUAGUCUUGGACUCUCCCACCCCUCACUAAUCUAAGCGAUGUGGGACUUCUCCAAGAUGCAUAACUUGAUCUUUUUUCUCCUUCAUUAGCAAUGUGGGACUUACAUUGCAAUCAACCCCAACAAAAAAUUACCCUAGAUUACAGAACACAAUAGCAGAACUUUGAGGACCUGUCAAGCCUCCCAAUGCCGAAAGGCAGUAAACUACUGGACACCCAUCCCUUUCGAUCUUUCUUACUAUUUAUAGGCAACAUGCCUCACACACUAAAUCACUAACUAAAUACUUCACAAACACUACAUCUAAAAACAGUCAAGUCAGGAACUAUGCGGGAAAAUAUGAGAAAUUAAAGUGAGGUUAUUCUAAGGUUAUAGUAUAGCAAAAAUUGUAGUAUCUUGAUAGGAUCCUUUCACUUUGUAUUCGUAAUGGACUUGUGAAAAAUAUAUAUAUCUCUAACCUGGACACGCUUAGUUCAAAAAGAAAAAUGCUAUGUUCUCUAAGAUGGAGAUCACUGACAGUCUUAACUACAAUGACCAUAAAUAUUUGUGAAUAUAUAAAAAUACAAACUGUUAAUAGUUGACAGGAACAUGCACAUGAUCAGCUAAAGUUGAAACAAUGAAAACUCAGAUUAAUAUUGCGAAUAUUUUAUUACAGAAUUGGAAAAUAGAAACAUGUGCUUUGGUCUAGGUAAUCAUAGGUUUACAGUGAUACUGGCUGACUCAAGGUUUGAAGUUGAGUAAUGAGAUGGUGAUGUUCUUGGUGAGGAUGAGAAAGGUUUCGUUGGUAUUUGCAACGAUUCGAGACUUCCUUCUAACAUAUCCACCACUUGACUCAUUGCUGAACGAUCAGAAGGAUCUGUUUGUAUGCACCACAAGCUUACCAAAAUCAUCUUCCUUGCCAUCUCACUAUCAUUUGCAUUUUUAAUACACUGCAGAACAAGCUCUUGAUCUUUUUCCAGACGCUUGUAAAUCCAAUAUGGAAAAUAUAUUUCACUGUAACACUCAACUUCCACAUUGAUAUUCUUUCUUCCUCCAACCAUUUCUAAAAUCAUCAUCCCAAAACUAUAAACAUCUGACUUGUGAGACACCACUCCAAAAUUUCUUGAAAACACCUCUGGAGCAAUAAACCAUGGAUUGGUGAUGCUCUUAGCGAAGAAAAGAAAGGUUUUGGUGGCAUUUGCAACGAUUCAAUGCUCCCUUCCAACAUAUCCACCACUUAGCUCAUUGCUGGACGAGCAGAAGGGUCUGCUUGUAUGCACCACAAGCUUACCAAGAUCAUCUUCCUUACGGUCUCAUUAUCAUUAUCAUUUUUUAUACACCUCAAUGCAAGUUCUUGAUUUUUUUCUAGAGACUUGUAAAUCCAAUGUGGAAAAUAUAUUUCACUAGAACAUUCAACUUCCACAUUAAUAUUUUGUCUUCCUCCAACCAUAUCCAAAACCAUCAUUCCAAAACUGUAAACAUCUGACUUAUGAGAUACACUGCCAAAACUUCUAGAAAUUACCUCAGGAGCAAUAUACCCUGCAGUUCCUCUUGCACCUAACAUGGAAACAAUACUCUCCUUUCUUGGGCAUAUUUUUGCAAGUCCAAAAUCUGAAAUCUUUGGACAGAAGUCUACAUCAAGCAAUAUAUUGUGAGGUUUGAUGUCAAAAUGUAAGAUUUGAGUGUUGCAACCUCUAUGCAAGUACUUUAAACCUCGAGCAGUACCAAUGGAAAUUUGAUGCAAAGUUUUGCAAUCCAAUUGACGAUCAACAAUUGCAGCAUUAUCUUCAUAUGUAAACUUCUCAAGAGAUCCAUUAGGCAUAAAUUCAUAAACUAGAGCUCUUUUUGAACCUUGAAAACAAAAUUCAAAGAGACCAACCACAUUAACAUGCGAAGUUUGGCUGAUACUGGCAACUUCAUUGAUGAAUUCUUCACCAUUUCUUUUCAACUUGUUUAAAAUCUUCACUGCAACAAGUCGUCCAUCAGGCAAUUUUCCUUUGUAUACACUUCCAUAACCUCCUUGGCCUAGUUUGCUUUUGAAGGAGCUGGUCAUUUCUCUUAUCUCAGAACAAGUGUCUUAAGCAUGAGUUCUUAGUUCUUACUACUAUUCAUUUGGUCCCACCAACCACAUUAUUUAUACUUUUUAUUUUCAUAAAGUAAUAAAACAAAACUCAUAAAGUAAUAAAGUAAUUUGGAUGAGAGAGAAAUAAUUAAUGUUUUAAGCUAAAAACUCAAAAAGCAAAACUCCUUCUAUAAGAACUGAGUUCUUAUUUUUAAGAACUAAGAAGUCCAUGUCAGCACCUCCAAUGGUAAAGUUCUUAGUUCUUAGUUCUUAACUCCAAAGUAAGAAUUAAGAACUUUGUAUUGGAGAUGCUCUUCUAGAUCAUGGGUUAUGGAGUCAGCAGCUAGAAACUCUCAGCUUCUGAUUUUUAUUUUUUGUUCCGGAUGAGGUUCUGCUUUUGGUUUCAUUUUCUUCUAAUUAAGGAAAGCAAGGAACUCUCAUUCAUUUAUGUGACACCAUAUAACUAUAUAUAGGUGUGGAGGUUAUUAUGAUUCUGGUGCACUCAAAAUUUUCCAAUAGUUCUGCAGAAGCUGACAUAUCUCGUUAUAAGGCACCCUCAAAUUAGACGUGUAGACACUGCCUGCGCAUACACGUUUGACGUUCUAUAUUUUGUGGUGGUAUGUUAUAUUAUACUAGAUCAAUUUAUAAAAGAACUUGGCACAAGUAAAUCAGUUAGAUAAAUCCAUUUGGGAAUUUUUCAUGCAUUUUGUUUUGAGAUAAUUUCAAAUUCAUUCUCUUUUGCAUGUAAUUUUGUUUACUGGGGUGCUUUUUUUAAUUUCCCUACACUGCUGAACUUUGGCCUGAAAAAAACUCCAGUCCAUAUCUUAGUUCAUAAAUGGCGCUGACUGACAGAUCUCUUAGUUCAUAUCUUUGUUCAUAUAUGUCAACGGUCAACCCCAUUGUUCCUCGGUUCCUUCUCUCCAAUCUCUGAAUCCCUUAUUCUCAUAGGCGGAUGUACCGCCUGGCCAUCCUGGGCCUGUGCCCAGGCUCUGGCCAAAAAAAAAAAUUUUUCUUUGGUCCAGAUCAUAAUUUAGGUCCAAAAAAAAAAUAAAAAAGGGAAAAUGUAAAGGUAAGGGAAAAAUUCAGGGACUACUUCAUAAAUGUGCCCAGGCUUCCCAAAAUUUCUGGUUCCGCCACUGCUUAUUCUAGUAAAUGGAUACAGUCAUAUCUAGAAUACAAUCAUGCAAUUAGUUUCUGCUUGACUGCAGAGUCCUCAUGUUGAGUAUAUAAUAAUAAUUCCAAGGCUUCUACAGGUAGUAACACUACAACAUUUUGGUCCUACGGCAACGCCUUGCCUUGCUACGGACGGAAAAGCGUUGCCGUAGAUGACAUUUGUACACGGUUUUCAUAUCUGUUCUGUUUGUGCCUAAAAAAUUUUCCAGUUCACAUCGAGAACGCUUUUUUCACAUUUGUUUUAUGAAAACACUUCAAAUGUUGUUGCUAAAGAUCAUUACUAAAUAAAAAUGAAAAACUUCGAUCAUCUGAAAAAUAAAAACCAAAAGAAAUGGGUAGGUUCAACAAAAAGCGAAAAUAUUCUCAAUUUCUCAUCUCGUGUUCAUGGCUGCGUCGUUCCCAUCGCCGAAGCCCAUCCCCGCCGCUCAUCGGUCAUCGAUCUUCACCGCCGUUUCUGAGCCACCGCGACACCACCAACCCUCGCCGGUGUUGAAGGCGAACCCAAACUCCGACUGGCAACGGUGAGAGCGACUGGAGACGGUGGCCACAAAAUCGACGCUGGUCAUGACCUAAUCGAUGCACUCACGCAUCAAAUCGAGAAGCUCCAUUCUUCUUCUCAAAGCUCCAUAAUCGCUGCCUCUGCGAUGAUGAAAUCGGAAGGAUUCGGUUUCAAAGAACUUUGGUUUCCGGAAGAAGAGUGAUUGAUUCGUUUUGUGUCGACUUAAUUUUGAUUUUGUUCAUUUUCAGGUUGUUUUGUAUGGAGAUCUCUCUCGUGCCCUUGUGAUCCUCCUUCCUCUACUCUUCAUCUAUGGUGGUGUCUGCUUCUACCUCCCUGGCUUAGUGCCGCAAGAUUUCCAGAAGGUACACCUUCAUUUCCAUUUCGAUUUUCUAGGUUUUCUAUUCUUUGAAGUUGAUUCUACCAACUGUUUGAUGAAAUGCCAAGCAUUUAUGCAGCAUUUAGUUGGUUGUUCUUUCCUUCACAUUUAUCUUAGUUGAAAAACUACCAUAAAACUACAUGCUAACCAAAACUGGACUUGGAUUAGAUUAGAUUAGACUGGAAUUCAUUUUCAGGUGUCAAUGAAUCCACCUAUUGUAUGAUAAUCUUUUGAUCUAUGUAGUCAUUACUGUUACCCCAAUGCCGAAGUGAAUAGAGCAACUCAACACAGUGAAGCCUUAUAUUACAUUGAUGUAUUACAAUAUAUUAUAGCUCCAUAUAAUUCACAUUUAGAGAAAAUAUGCUAGAUAGUUAGGAAUGUAAAAACAUGUGAGCUGUAAGAAGAUGAUGCUUUAGGGGUUGGUUCUGUUAUUGGUGUUGUAGACUUGGUUGUUGGUACAAUCAGAUAAGAUAUAUAUGUAACUGAUGCUCAUUCUCUUAUUAGAUGCUAAAUAUGCUAGGACUCUUAUAAGUGAAAUUCCAAAUAAAAGUUCGUAUAAGAAAGAGAUAGAUUUUAGGUUUGAAUUUAUCAUUGCUUGAACAUAGAUUAUAGAAGAAAUGAACAUAGUCUUUAUGUUAUUCGAAGUUUUGAACUAGCAUAUUUGUGUUAGUUUAUAUGCUCGUGUUUACCUUCUUAGGUUAUGUGAGGGUGGAGAAAUGCUGGAUCAGAUAUUGGCCUAGUAAGUAUUGGUUGAUUUUGGAUGUGAUUGUUAUUUUCCUUGGUCUAAAUCUGGUCUCCUUGGUACCCUUGAUUCAUGUCAUUACAAAAAAAAUGAAAAAAAUUCGAUUUCUCAGUCGCAUGCUUUGCUUCAAUUUCAAUUUCAGAUUUAAGUUUGUCCAAAUUUUAUUCAUGAGCAAAAUGACUUUCUGUUUUUUCAUGAUUUUAAUUUCAGCUUGGUUCAAGAAUUAUUCGACUGCGGUCAAUAUACCACCAGUUCUCAUCUCAAUUCCUACCAAUCCACAAUCAUAUAAUACUUCAAAUAUUCCAAAUAAAUAGUAUGAGUUUAAUCAGGUGCUCCAAGAGAGUCUUUGGUACACAGUGCAUGGCAUAUUUUAACAAAGAUUAAACAAAAAAAUUACAUAGAUGAUUGAGUAUUGCAUAUAGAUGGUAUGUGCAGUUAAUGUGAUGUUCAUCACUACAAAACUAAUCUUUUGAGUUUCAAGUAGUAGUAGCAAAGUGCAGUGCUAAGUGCUAACCCUAAAAACCUAUAUAUAAAAAAUGGGGUGAAAAGAUUUACAUUUUUGGCUGCAGCACUGAAAGCUUCUCGAUGUGGGAUCUGAGGAUUUGCUGCUUUGAUCCGCUGUAUCUCCCCUCUGACAAUCACAUCAAAUCAACCAUAUAUGUUAUACGUGUCAUAGUACUAAGAAAGUAAAUAGAGUAAGAGAAAUAGAGAAUGUAAUAGUGCAAUCUGUGUUGUUGUAGUGAAAAAAAAACAAAGACAAAAAAUCCACAUCUCUCCAGAAAUCUGAACUCACUUCAUGAAACGAUUGUAAGCAGAUGGGAGACGGUGCUUUUUCUUAGGUGUUGCAAAAAGAAUAAUCAAUUUACAAAUAAGGACACACAUGAAUAAUGUUGGGAACUGAGAAAGAAAAUCAUUUGUAGAGGGAGUUCUGAGUAAUCAAUAAUACAAAGUUUUAAGGUAAAAAACUCCUCUCAGUGCAUUUGGUGAACUCACCACAUCUCUUGCAAUGGAAGAAGUUAUCCUUGCCUCCAAUUCUGAAAAAGCAAUUAUAUAGAGAAGAUGAUGAUCAAAUUCUGUUAAAGCAAUGUGGAGUAGGAAAUAUAACAAUUAGAAAACUGAUUGAAGAUCUUUACCUGCAGAUGCCAUAUUCAUCACAGUGGUAUUGGUUUUUUGAAAUCUGAAAGAUUGAACAACUUCUUAAUAGAAUAUUCCAAAAUAUGCCACUCUCAUAAAUCAUAAUUGAUUUUGACUUCGAAAUCAAUUGUAAGAGAAUUUACAAACAUCCACGAAGAAGGAAACAUAACUCAAUUUCUAUCUCGCGAGAGAACUUACAUCAUCAUCAUCAAAUAAUUUGCAUGUAGCACAAAAGUACUUGCCCAUGCAUACUCCACAGUUUAUGCAGUACUGCUGAACCUGCAGGUAGCAUGAGAAACAAUCAACACAUCAGAAAAUGCAAGUAAUAUAUUACCAUUUUUAUUAAUCAGCAAUAAAAUGUCACAUAAUGAUUAUAUGGUUAAGUCUUAAGAAAGCAGAAACACAUGACAUAAUCGUUGUCUCUGCUGCUGCUACUGUCAUGGUCAUGGCCAUGCUCGUGCUUCUUCUUCUUGUCGUGCAACCUGCAUAUAGCAAAGGAAGCUUGUAAGUAUUUCUUGUAGUCAGCUCAAAGAAUUAGAAAGAAAGGAAGAGAGAAUCAUGGACAAACUAACAAAACACAGUGCAUUGAGCUCUGCAAUAAAUAAAAAAGAAACAAAAGAAGCAUUUAAGAAUUAAGAUCAUAACAAUAACAUAAUAAACACCUAAAACUAUGAAAGGAACAGAGCUGCCACUCACAAUUUUCAAGGAGGUUCUAAGUUCCCAAGCACGGGCAGAGGCUGAACCAACUCCUCCCAUGUCAGGGUAUUGAACCCCUACUGCCACAGUGUUCUCAGGAUUCUCUAUUGGUCUGAUUCCUCUUGAACUUGAACCUGGUCCAGAUCUUGAUGAUUGCUUGGAAGAGUCAGAAAACUUCAGCACCAUGUCCUUCAAUUUCAUAUGCAGAAAGAAAGAAAUAAUUAACACCAUUUGCAUGUAUCUAUCUAGGGUACAUUACAAUGAAGAUGUUCUUUACUAAUGCAUACAGGGAUGAUAUGAAGUACGAUUUACAUCAAUCAAUCAAUUAAACAGAUUGUAUUUGCAUCUCAUGACAAUGUAAAAAUGUGUCGGAAAACUCAUAGAACCAAACAGAUGUGCCUGAAGUUUAUGUGUAUGCAGAACAGAAAAUGCACUCAGUUAAGAAAAUUCGUUCAGGAAUUUCAUCGAACAUGUAGUAUGCACCGAUGAUAUGAUAAAAGUGUGGAGAAAAUUCAUUCACUUAUGUCAUCGAUCAUGUUAUAUGCUUGGAAACAGCAAUGAAAAUGUGCAAAUCAAAGCCAAACAGGGAAGGAAUUGCAAUGAAGCAGCAUGAAGUAAAAAGGAGAGAGGGAUAGAGUGACUUAGAGAAAGAAAGAACGUGAGUGGUCUGAUGCGCUUCUCAGAAUCAGUUCUGGUUCUCUCCUUGACGUUGAGCUUCCUGACGGUGUGACCUGCUACAGCGGACCAGUAACACCACGACGAUCUGAGCGAUGAAUAUUGCGAGCUCGUCUCGCCAUUUCCUCACCCGACGCCAAAACACGCAGCCACUCCCGCUCCUUUCCUGUCUUCAUAUCCUCUUCCCUUGUGGUGUCUUCACUCCUUUCAUCCUUACUCUCUCAAGUCGAAGAAAAGUGAACCUUGACAUCAAGAAUGGCCGAAACAGAGUGAGUGAAUGAGUUUCAGACUAACAGUGGAAGCAGAAAAAGCAAUAACAUGAUAAGAGGACUAUCUCGAGUUAGGGUUUGGGCGCAAAUGAGCGAUGAAUUGCGGAAACAAAGUUAGAGGAGGAAGAAGAAGAUUUCAUAUUAGAAUCCGAAAACGCAUCAUCUCUGCUUCUCGGUUUUCUCCACCGUGCACAACCCUAAGUCAGGUUCGUUGUGGGAGAGGAGCCGCUCAAUUGAAAGCGGGGAAUAGUUUAGGUUUAGGUGAAAGGAGAAAUCAAGGCACAUGUGGCAAGUAGGAGUAAGGAGGAAGAGCCUAGCUUUGACACGUGUCAAAAAUCAAGUAAGAAUUAAUCUGGGAGCGACACGUCAUUAACUUGGCAUGUGGGAGCGACACGUCAUCAAAUCAACCUUAGAGAAGUUCUUCUUUUCUAAUAUAUAUUGAUAUUGAUUUUAUCAACAGAGAAAUGGAUUGGGUUUGUUUGAGUUGAUUACGAAGGUGAAGGGAUGCCUCCAACUCCAAACCAGAGAGCCCUUGUUUGUUUGCGACAGAUCAUAGAUAUGGAGGGGUGGAAAUGGUAGGAAGGAGAUGUUGUAGGCAUGGAGAGGGUGCCACCGUUGACAAGGGGAAAAACAAAUGUUUUUGUCAAUGACACGUUUUUUCUCCUUCUGUAAUUUGAUUAAAAUUUAUUUUUCUUUUAACUAUGUCUAAGAAUUUUAUUGAUUAUGCCUCAAUUAAAAGGUGUUAGGGUUUAUUUUAUAAACUAAAAUUCUAUUGAAUAAAAAAUACAAAGAGGACUUCAACUGAAUACAUAAAAGAGCCAGAAAAGAGGCACACGAACAAAGAUUAUAGUAGAACCAACUAAUAUUCAAAACCUGGGAAACUAUACUAGAGCUAGUUGGUUCCAAUCCAACAGAGUAGGGAUGGUAACGGGUAGGAUCGGGCACGGGUUUUACAAUUACCAAACUCAAACCCAAACACAAACCCUUUUGGGCGAUAAAAUGAAAUUCAUGUCCAAACUCAUUGAGUUUUUGAUUUACCCGAAACCCAACCCAAACUCAUUACUUACGUGAAAUAGCAACCCGUCCCAGAACCUGAUCCAGAACCUACUUUCAUAAAAAAAAAAAGUGAAAUUCGUAGAAAGAAAAAAAAAACAAAUACUAUUCAUCAUCCUCAUCCAUCACCAAAGUGAGACAACAAUAGUUUAGAGUUUAUUUCUCAAACAUAUAAAAGUACAAUUAAUCAUCAAAUACUAAGAACAAAGUUUAUAAAUAUAUAUGUAUGAUGGGUUUUUUGUAAUUUUAUGUUUCGGAUAUCUUUGGGUUUGGGUUCGGGCGGGUAUGGGCACGGAUUUAACUAAUACCAAACUCAAACCCAUAAACUGCUAUAGUAACGGGCAAAACUCAAAUCCAGUCAACUCGGGUUUUGUCCUUCAAAUCGGAUCGGGUUCAUGCGGGUACCCAUGAAUUUGGGCAAAAGUGUCAUCCCUACAACAGAGUGAUGGGUGGCAACAAUCUGCACAAUUUGGAAUCAAUGAAACAAAGUGGUAUUUAGAGACUCACAAACUGUUUAUUCAAUUAGUUGUUUUGGUUGGAACCGCCAGGACUGGUUGAGUCUUUUCUAAGGUAAGUCCAAAUGUUUCAUCCAUAUCCAUAUCCUCUGGUUUGAUUCCACCUUCAAGCUCCCAAUUGAAGCAAUUGAUAAGCAAACCCAACAUCAAGAACAACAGUCUUAUUGCCAAUGGUAAGCCAGGACAUAUUCUUCUCCCAGCGCCAAAUGGUGUCAACUCAAAACUUCUACCCUUAAAGUCAAUUUCUGACCCCAAGAAUCUCUCUGGUGAAAACAAAUUUGGAUUAUCCCAUAAAUUUGGAUCUCUCCCAUUAGCCCAUACAUUAACCAGAACUUGUGAACCUUUCGGGAUCGUAUAACCGUGCAUAUCUAAAUCUACUUCGGCUUGUCGAGGGAGUAAAAGUGGGACUGCUGGGUGCAACCGAAAAAUCUCUUUAACAAUUGCUUGCAAGUAAGGGAGUCUCUCAAUGUGUGAUUCUUCAACUAGCUUGCCUUUGCCAAUAGUUUUCUCCAACUCUGAUUUUGCUUUUGACAUAACUUCUGGGUUACGUAGUAACUCGGCCAUUGUCCAUUCUACCGUAGAUGUAACUGUGUCGGUUCCUGCCACAAAUAGGUCCUAACAAAAGCACAUUAAUUAGAAAGUGAGAUGCUUCACAAUCUACCAUAAAUCUUGCUCAAUUCUAAGUUUUUUUCAUGACUUUUUACUGCUAUCAAUUUUUUUUUUGAAAUGUACAACUAUCAAAUUAGAAGGUUCUAAUACAAUAUCAAAAUUUGUAAAGUGUAACCAUCAAUCCAUCAUAAAGUUUGGACCACAAAUUAUUAAAAAUUGUGACUCUGUCGUUCAUUUUAUUUUUACAGCAGAAAAUCAUCAUAUUAAUUGAAAAUAAUAUAUCUCGCCAUAGCGAGGAGGACGAACAAAGAAACUAUAACUCUCUGCAGACACAUAGGUCUUCUCUCUACUGAUACAUUGGCCUUCCACUCUAUUACAUCUGAAUUCUGAAAAAUAUGUCUCUUAUUGAUGGGUAUAUAUCUAAAUAUACUCAAAAAAAAAAAAUACUUAACUAGUAUUGAUCCCGCGUCACACACAGAUGAAAUAAGAGUACAUUAUCAGCCUACAUUAGAUCUUUUUAUAUUUUCUCUCUUGAUUUUCUUUUUAAAACACGUAUAUCACAUAUUAAAGUUUUUUUUUUUCUAAUCCUAGCUAGGAACAUUUUAAUUCCCUUUUUUCCUAAUUUGUUAUGUUUUGAAUCAAUAUAACAAAACCAUUUUAAUCUUCUGAAUAUAUAUAAGAAAACAUAAAAGACAAAACUUUUGAGUUAAUUUCCAAAUCAAUCCUUUAAAAAAUUUGAUAUUAAUUAUUUUAUGGCAUAUUUGAUAUCAUUUUUAACAUAAGAUAUUACAUUUAAUUUUUUUAAUAUAAAAAAUAACUAUAAUCAUUAUAAAAAAAGAUUUUUUUUUCUGGAAAUGCAAAAAAAAAAGAUUUUGUUACCAUACAUCUUAAUGGUAGAAAAUUCACAAUUGACUUUAAUUAAUUAAUCUAAUGUGCAUUUAAAACCAUUAAAUGACAAAUUAAUAUAGUAGUUAUUUUUUAAAAAAGUCACAAUUAAAUUUUGUUAAUUAUUCUAAUGUCAUUAAUAACUAUUAAAUGAAAUAUUAAUACAUUAAUUAUUUUAAAAACAUUAAAUUAUUUAAUAUUUAAAUUACUAAAAAAUCAGAAAAUAUAAAUAUGACAUCAUCUGCCUACUAAUUAAUUAUAGUACGGGAAAGAAGCUUAUGAAGAAAGACAUAAAAUGAGGGGGUGGCACUUGUUAGAGUUGUCACUUUUAAUUUGGUUUAGAAAUAGUAUACAACUGGUGUUUUUUCUCGUGCGUGGCACGGGGAAUAUGUAUAUUAUAUUUGAUACAUCAAUUAAUCAUAAAUGUGAUUAUCCGAGUUCAUUUUCAGUUAUUUUUCUUAAAAUUCUAAGUUAUUUAUGUUUUAAUUUUUUUAAAAUUGUUCCCAAUAUGUGUUUAGGGAACACGUUCAACAGACUGGUGCAGUAUCUUAGAUAAUUAGGGAAAACUUUUUAUAAUUUUAAUGGAUUAUAAUCUCAGCACUACAUAUAUUUAUUUUUAUAUUGUAGAUCAUGAGAAAAAAUAAAAGGAGAAAUCAGGAGAUUCAGUAAAUAUGCAGUAAAUUAGGCUUGAGACUCUUCCUAAUUUAAAGAGAUAAUGUAAACGGUUUCAAGAUUUGUUUUGGAAAUAAAUUUAGUAAGGAGUAAUCAAGGUAAAUCUUACAUAAUUAGGGCAAAACUUUUAAAAUUCGAUUUUAAGAUAAAAUAACACAACAGAAGAGAAGUUAUCUAAUGAAAUGACAUGUGAAAUUUUUUUAUGAGAAUGACACGUGGAAUUUUUUUUAUGAGAAUGACACGCGCGAUACUAAUUCAGCUUGAUAGAAGUUCUUCUUUUCUAAUAUAUAUUGAUUGAUUGAUUAUAGGAUUUGAUAUGGAGGAUAUACUUAAUUUGACUAUGAUGAAAAUAUAUAAUAUUUUUUUGUAAGAAAAAUAGAUUUAAAUCUCAUAAAUCUAAUCGUGGAAACCGGAAAGAUGUAAUAAUCAAUUGUUCACACAUUUACUUCGUGACUCUCUUUCUCCCUUUACAUAUCACUUAUCAUAUCAUAUCAUAUCAUUCGUUUCUCUUUCAUUCUUAUCCAUCUCUAAAAAAUGUGGGUGUAAAGGUGUGAAUUAUAAAAACAUUUAUGAUAUUUGAAAACAAUAAAAAGUGAACAGUCAAAGAGUAUAAAUAGGUGGAGGAAGAGAGAGAUAGGAAGAAAUUAGAGAAAAUAUAAAUUGUGAUAAAUGAUUUGAUAGAGAAAAUAAAAUAAAUAAAGGUGUGUAUAAAUCAUAACUCAUGUUUGCAGGUAAAAUGUCAUUAAUAGAAAAUCCAACCAUGCUGUAAAAUAAAAGGGUUGUUAAAAGGAAAUUAAGCAUACCACUGAUAAACGCUCAAUCUUAUCUUUGUACAUCUCUGAACCGUUAUGUUGAGCAUUGUCGAGCAUGGCAUCCAACAUGUCAUUUUUGGUGUUGUAACCACUCUCUUUCCUCUGCUUCAACCUUUCCUCCACCAAUCCCUUGAAAAUUUUCAUCAACCUCUCAAAGUAACUCCCUGUGCGCCUCCUUAUCCCAUGAGGAUCAACCACCUUCAACACCGGAAAACAAUCAGCCAAGUUGGGCCUCCCAACCUCCUUCAUGAUACUCACAAUCACCUCCUUAAACUCCCCAGCUUUAUCCGCAGAGCGAAUCAAAUCCACUGAGUAAAUCGUGUUUGAAAGCAAGUUUAUGGUGGUCUUGAAAGCCAGCCUUCCAACAUUAACGGCCUCACCUUUCAACAUGCUUUUCUUGAUGUCAUUGAAGAGCUCUAAAAUCUUGUCGCAUCUUAAUUGUUCAUUAGCAUUGAGAUUCUUGUUGGAGAAUAAUAGAUUGUUGCAGAUUUUCCGGAGGUCUCUCCAACGGUGCGAGACGGGGAUGAAGGGUAAGCUGUAACGGUCUUGGUUAUAGCCUUUCAUGGCAUCGGGGAUCUUUCUGUUGGAUAAGAAAUUGUCGUGGAUUUGGAGCGUUGAUUUGGCAGUUUCGGAGGAGGACAUGACUAUGGUAGUGAUUUGGCCAAGUUUGAGGGUCAUGAUGGGGCCAUGGGUUUUGGAGAGAGUGGCCAAGGUUUGAUGGGGUUUGUGGCCAAGUUGGAAGAGGUUCCCAACUAUGGGAAGACCCUUUGGUCCUGGGGGAAGUGGAAGCUUCUUCUUCUUGUGGUUUGGUUUCAAGAUUGUAUUGGCAAGAAACAGUAUAAAGGUGAUGGUAAGGAGAAAUAGCAAGAUGCAGCUGAUUGUGUCCAUUUCUUGUGGUGAAGGGGGGAUAUUGCAGCGUUGAAUCCACACACCAUAAUACCAUAUAUAUAGGGAAAUGGAAGGAUAAGAGAUGACCUUUCUUUCUCUCUCUCCAUUGACAAUCUUCUAGGAUUAAUAUUACACUUGAUAUGGUGAAAAAUGAAGAGAUGAAGUGAAACAAAAUAAUUAAUGCAGUAUGAUAAUGCAAAUUACUUCUUUCUAAAGUCAUUUAAACAACCCGAACAAAUUUGAUAAGAAGAUAUAUAGAGAGGGAAAAAUGAGAUGUGCAUGAUAUGAAGUGUUUGGGUAUUUCAGUCUAUAGUUUGGUGGGUAUUUAAAUAUAGUAGUAUUUAUAUGUAUUUAUAUGUUCUCUU